CGCAAAAAUAUAGGUACCGUCUUUCAAAACAAGAGUUUGAUUUAAAUUGAGGACUAUAGUUACAACGUGAGCUCGAUUUAACAUAAGAAAUAGAUAUUAGACAAAAAAGUGUUCCACAUCGAUAGUUGGAAGGGAUCCAAGUAAUAUAUAAGAUAGAUGGACCACUCCAUUUAUCAUCAAUUGGUUUUAGUUUGGAAGCCCGUCUAGCUUAACAUGGUAUCAGAACCCGAUCCACGAAGUCUAAUCCGAUCCAUCGAUCUGGCCCAAAGUUGGCCUAUCGAUCCUUGCCCGAGCAUUCCGAGAUUGACGCUCAAAGAGCCAUCAUCUCGAAUGGGCGUAUUAGACACAAAAGUGUUCCACAUCGGUAGUUGGAAGGGAUCCUAAGUAAUAUAUAAGAUAGAUGGACCACUCCACUUAUCACCAAUUGGUUUUAGGUUGAAAGUCCGUCUAGCUUAACAAUAGACUUAUCGAAAAGCAAUUAAUUAAAGGAUUAACAUUGAUACGAUUUUUUUCAAAAAAAAAAAGAAAAAAAAAACAUUGAUACGAUUAUACGACUAGAAGAUUAUUUUAAAGCCUUAACGACAAGUCAAGGUGACUCAUCUCUUGAUCCUGAUCGAUACCACUCUCCGGCACACGACGGCCUGAGAAGUCCCUGGGGCCACCGCUUUCGACAAAUCCUUCAUAGCCACGGCCGUAGAGCUCAAACCGGCCGGAGAAUGGAUAAGGCUGAUCGACAUCAACAGUAGUUGAGGAUCUAAAGAGUUCACGACUCUUCUUGGCUAAGGUUCUCUCUAGCUUAUGAGCGUUUUGAUGGCCACCUAGAGCCUGAGAGCUGUAAAAUUUUCUUUGACAAUAGUUACAAGAGAAGACCCUAGGCUGCUCCAAACAUGAUGAUGAGUUUGUGGAAGAUGAGGAAGAGGAGGACAUAGAAGAAGGGUCAAGGACAAGUUCCAGGUUUAGUUGAUGGUUCUUGUAACUUGGUAGGCUUAGACGUAGGGAUGUGUUUGGCUGAAAGUCCAUACCUAAAUGUUUAGUGAGAGAGAAGAGAGAGGUUAGAGAGAUAAUUAAGAAGAGAGAAGUGUGUUUGAAGGUUUCGGGCAUGAGGGGCCUUAUAUAUAAGGUGUAAAGGUGCGUAUAGGUUUCCUCAAAACUCAUGUUGGGUGCAACUUCGACUGUAAAUUAUGGGGAGAGAGAGAGAGAUUAUAGAGAUGAGACAUGGAAGCUGGAAGAAUCAGUGGGGAUCCGAGUGUUGUCGCCUCCAUUAAUGGCACCCUUUGAACCCUUUGUCGGUCCAUCUAAUAUUAUUUUCCUUCAGAGAAUUAUAUUUUACUCAAUACAUGUAAUUAUAUUUAAUGGUAUCGUUUCAGAGUGUUGAACACCUUAAAAAUUAUAUCCCAUGUGGUAGUUGUUUAGACCAGACAUAGAAGAUAUCAGUUUUAGUUUGAGUGUUGUAGGUUUUAUGCCUUUUCUAUUUGAAAUUUAUUUACACCAUAUGUUUGCGUAAAUUACUAUAGGGUAUGUGCAAAAUCCUUAGAAUUUUCUAUUCAUACCAAAACUAUACCAAAGUUUUCUAAGCAUAACCAAGAAAUCUGUUUAUGUUCAAAUUUAAUUCAUACCAAAAAUAACAUGAGAUAAAGAUGAUCACAUAAUUAGAAAUUCUAUUUAUAUGACUUUGCUAAGCAACCUUUAAGAUGAUGUCACGUUCAAAAAUCAAAAUGAAGUAUGUAACUAUGCAUGUGAUUGUAAUAAUUGUUUUUUUUAUCUAAAGCCGUUUGAUUCUGAGAAAAUGAACUCACUCAAAUUAAUUCUAUUGUACUUUGUAAGUUUGUUAAUGGCAUCAAGUUUCAGAAAUUUAUAUAGAUUAUAUCAUUAAUUUGUAUAUUCUGAGAAAAUGAACUCACUCAAAUUAAUUCUAUUGUACUUUGUAAGUUUGUUAAUGGCAUCAAGUUUCAGAAAUUUAUAUAGAUUAUAUCAUUAAUUUGUAUAUUCUGAGAAAAUGAACUCACUCAAAUUAAUUCUAUUGUACUUUGUAAGUUUGUUAAUGGCAUCAAGUUUCAGAAAUUUAUAUAGAUUAUAUCAUUAAUUUGUAUAUUCUGAGAAAAUGAACUCACUCAAAUUAAUUCUAUUGUACUUUGUAAGUUUAUUGAAUGCAUGCAACAAGUUUCAGAAAUUUAUAUAGAUUAUAUCAUUAACUUGUAUUAAGGGUUACAUUUAAAAAAAAAAAGAUAAUGUAGUUCAUAAAUUUGUAUUUAAGGGUUACAUUUUUCAAUCUCCAAAUAUUAAGAUGUAUAAUUGGUCAGUAAAACAUAAAAUGGAUUUAGUCAAAAAAAAAAACAUAAAAUGGAACUAAGAGAAAAGUUAAUCGUAAAAAGGUAUACACAAAUGUGAAUAGGAUUUCAAUCAAAACAGCUAUUAGGUUCAUUAACUUAUGACAAAAGAAAGACUUAAGAUUAAAGCUCUCUUAUCAAAUUUCCAGUAAUGGCAAUGAACACUUGCCGUGAUAAAGCUUUUGACUCGGCUUAAACAUGUAAGAUGAUGUUAACCCCCAAUAAAUUAAAUCAUCGCUCACCGUACGAUCAAUAUAUCUACCAACGGUUCACAAGGAGUUCGUACCAGAUAAGAUGUGGACUGCACCACAGUGAACCCACUUUAGAUAUAUGAUAUAUCACGUUUUGCCUUGCGUGAGUUUAUAAGCGUAUAAGUCAUUUCAGUUUGAAUUGUUUCAAAAGAAUUCAAUUAAUUUUAAUUACUUAAGAUCAAUGAGGACACAUCGGUGUCAUCUGUACAUUUGUUUCAUUAAGACUUUUGUCGUUUAAAGAUUGAAAAAGAUUACGUUUUCGUACUAAUCUCUCAUGCUUGUUUCGCUUUCUUUAAUUAAGUUCUUUUGGGUCCGAUCGGUUUUUAAAUUUAUGGUACUUUCUAACCAGCCAAGUAAAACUGAUUGAUCAAUUAUUUAUUUCUAGCAGCUAAUAACUAGAAAAAUCUAAACAAAAAACAAUUAUAAAAUCAAUAUAUGUUUUAGAGUUGUGGACAGUUUAUACUUUUAUAAAACUAAAUUCCUUUGGUGAGAAAAAGCUUACCAAUAUAAUUUUAGUUUCAAAAAAUUUAUUUUUGAAUGGUGUGAAUAAACGCAGAUAAACUAAUCAGACUAAUAUUUGUCUGAUAUCAAAGACGGAGAGGCCAAGAUCAAUGUCUGAAUUCCGGCCUAUGAGCUUGUGCAACGUAAGCUACAAGAUCAUCUUGUGAACAAAAUUAUCACCAAGUUAAUUUCGGAAACACAAUCAGCCUUUGUGUCUCGUAGACUCAUUACAGAUAAUAUCUUGAUCGCGCAAGAGUUGUUCUACGCACUACGUACGAACCCGAGCUGCCAAAGCAAAUAUGUGGCGAUAAAGACAGAUAUGAGUAAAGCUUAUGAUCGUGUGGAAUGGAGUUUCCUGGAAGAACUAAUGGAAAGGAUGGGCUUCAACGGGAGAUGGAUCAAUAGGAUCAUGCGCUGCAUCUCGUCGGUAUCUUACCAAGUCCUCAUCAAUGGGGAAGCAAAAGGAAAUAUCACACCAUCUCGCGGACUGCGACAGGGUGACCCUCUGUCACCAUUUCUAUUUAUACUUUGCACAGAAGUGCUCAUCUCUCAGCUUAAGAAUGCGGAGCAGGAAAAGAAGCUCACUGGCCUAAAGAUUGCACGAGCCAGCCCGCCAGUCUCGCACCUACUCUUUGCCGAUGACAACCUGUUUUUUUGCAAGGCGGACCAGGGAGAAUGUAGUGAGCUGAUGAAAAUCAUUGACGUCUACAGCAACGCCUCAGGACAACAACUGAACAAAUCAAAAUCUUCAGUGAUGUUCGGUUCUAAGGUAGUAGCGUUCUAAAAAAAUGACCUGAAAAGGUCACUAGCCAUAAAUCAAGAAGGUGGAAUGGGUAUGUACCUCGGACUACCUGAAAAGAUAUGUGGCUCUAAGAAACAAGUUUUUAGCUACGUCCAGAGCGAUUGAAUGAUCGCACAAACUCUUGGUCGACGAAAUUGCUAUCAAAAGGUGGUAAGGAGAUCCAGAUCAAAGCGGUCGCCCAAGCGGUACCAUCGUUCACCAUGUCAUGUUACCUCUUACCACAAGGAAUUACGAAGAAAUUAAUGAGUGCAGUCUCGCGUUUCUGGUGGAGCACCAAGAUCAAUAAUAAGGGACUUCAUUGGGUAGCUUGGGAUAAAAUCUGUGUACCUAUGGACGAGGGCGGACUUGGUUUCCGUGACUUUCACGCGUUCAACCUUGCCUUACUAGCAAAACAGUUGUGGAGAUUACUUCAGUAUCCUCACUCUCUCUUAGCUCGAGUUCUAAAAGGUAGAUAUUACAGACACACAAACCCGAUGAAUGUGCAGAAGGCAAACAACCCAUCCUAUGGAUGGCAAAGCUUAUUAGCCUCAAAAGAAGUUCUUCACAAGGGUCUCCGGAAGAAGAUAGGAAAUGGACAUACAACGAAAGUAUGGGAGGAGCCCUGGCUCCCAACGCAACCAGCGAGAGCACCACUUAGCAUUGACAACGUCUGAGACGAAGACUUCCGCGUUCAUCAUCUAAUUGAUGCUCAGAAUCAGUCUUGGAAUCUAGAGAUACUAAACGCAGUCAUCGCCGCGGAGGAUAUUCCCAGGAUUACAUCACUCCGGGUGAGCCGCACAGGUCGACAUGAUAGUUACUUCUGGGAUUUUACGAAGUCCGGAGUAUACUCGGUGCGAUCAGGCUACAAAAGAGCCCACGAGCUCCACUCUGCGGCCAACCCGAACGUUGUAACGGAACCUAGUACAACGGAACUGAAGAAAGCAACAUGGAAGCUCAAAGCCCCAUGAAAACUUAAACACUUUCUAUGGCAAGUUACAACAUGAUACCUAGCGACGGCAAAGCAACUUAAAGUGAGACAUUGUGCUAAUGAAAGUAUAUGUGUUCGAUGCGGUGAUGAAAAUGAAUCUAUCAAUCACACAAUCUUUGAGUGCCCACCGGCCCUACAAUGUUAGGCUCUAUCUGAUAUACCAUCUUCUCCGGGGCUGUUCCCGAGUAACUCUCUAUACUCAAACAUAGAUUUCUUGUUAUUUCGUGCUAAAGAAACUGGAGUGAGGUCAGAGGUACUGGCCGCAUUCCCAUGGAUCGUUUGGUAUAUCUGGAAAACGCGUAACGAGAAGAUCUUCAAAGACAAGGAUAUCAUGCCGUUGGACUCACUGCAACUUGCGGUUAAAGAAGCAGAGAGCUGGACACUAGCGCAGAGAAUAUCGGAAGACACAGAGGGUGAGAGGGACGAACAACGAAGAACACGACACAGUACUAGUAUACAAGAGCUUCUCACAGCUAGAUGGAGAUGUCAAACUGAUGCAUUUUGGAUAAACGAAAGAGACAGAGUCGGGAUGGGCUUCGUAUAGCUGGAGGACGACAUACCGAUUCUAUUUGGAGCACAGGGACUAAGUGUCGCCGUAUCCCCACUCCACACCGAAGCCGAAGGGCUACUGUGGGCGAUGCAGGAAGUGCUGAGGCAAGGAAUCAGAGCGGUACGUUUUGAGUCUGAUUGUGAACAACUAAUCAAGCUGAUAAGGGAUGACGAAGAUUGGCCUGCAAUGGCAUCUGAAUUAGACGAGAUCAAAGCUUUAUCGGCUGAGUUUAUUGACUUCUCCAUAGCAUACAUUCCAAGAUCUGCGAACAUACGUGCAGACUCUCUAGCCAAAGGGGGAAGAUCACGCGUUUUCGGAUCAUCGUUCGUCAACUGCUUUGCACCAAGUUGGCUAGGUCCAGACGCUGUCCAAGAGAUUGCUAACUAGUUUCGUAUAAGUUUUAUUUCCGAUGUCAAAAAAAAAAAAAAAACUCAAAAAGAUCCAGAAAAACUUAGAUACAUAUAUUGAGGCAUUGUGAUUUAAAUCAUUUUCUCAUAUGUACUUAGUUAUUUUGUACCAGUAGUUUAUGAUAAGCCAUGGUAAAAUAUAAUACCCCUACAUUUUUUUUUUGGGGGGGGUGUCAUGGAAACUGAAUGCAUUUUAUGUGAUUGAUUAUGAGGAGACGUGUAAGAUGAAGCGACCAAAAUAAAGUUAAAAAGGAUGGUUGGACUAUGUUGUUGUUCACCUCAAAUCUAUUUGUCCUACGAUGGGACGACAUUAAUACUUCAUGUGACGAAUGACGAUUAGUCUACAAUACAUAAUAUGUAGUAUGUACUUUAUAUAUACCUUACUAUGUAUUGGAUAAAACGCAUACGGAUAAUUAUACGAUAGAUUGCGUCCACCAUUAUGACGCUUUUUUAAUGGAGAAGAAUGUCUAUAUAACACUAUGCAUGUACCUUCAUAUCAUCCAUUCUUAUACUGUUUUAGAAAUUUAUCAUAAGAAUGUUAUAAUUAUAUUGAUGGGUUUUUGCAAAGUUGCCAUCAAGAAUUAAAAUUUUGUGAAAUUUCUCAAUUUUGUGAUUAGUUUAUGUGAAACUAUAACUUUAAUUGUGAAAUUUCUCAAUUUUGUGAUUAGUUUCUGUGAAACUAUAACUGGCUGUUAACUUUAAAAAAAAAAAUAUUAUGGAAGUGAUUGGAAUGAGUCGUAGAUCUGUGUUUUUUGCUGUAGAAUUUAAGCCGUAUAGAUUUAUUUUGUGAAUUUUUUUAAUGUAACUUUGUAAAUCAGUAUUUUUUUGUUAUAAAAAUAAAGAUCUCUAUUCUUUUUAAUUUUGUAGAGAUUUUUUUACUGUAAAUUUUUUAAAGAAAAGCAAAACUUGAUUAGUUAAUAUACAUGAUUUUUGAUUAAAUUUUGGAUGUCUAAAGUAUCUGCAUCUACCACCAACCCCUUAUAAUUGACUUUUUACCCAAAAAAAAACCAUAACUGAUUGAUAAUUUCCUAUUGUAAUUGCAUCUCUAUAAAUAAUAAAGUUAUUAUCUUAAUUGCCAAAAUAAUUGGUUAACUUAAAUCUAAUUUUUAAAAAUAUCAAAAUAUCAAAAUAGAGAAACAUGAAACGCUUCGUUGUCUUACAAAUUAGAUCCCUUACAUGUAUUGGGGUAGAGUAUAUGUUGAACCGAGUAUAUCAUUUGUUAAAUAUAUAUAUGAUUAAAUAAUUAUAGCAAAGUUGCUCUCAGGAUGGCACAUGGGAAGUGAAUGCCUGAAUGGGACUGAAUUAUAAAGCUAAAAAUAUUCAUCAAGUUGAUUCGUUUAUGUAAAUUCGCCGUACGACUUCAACCAAUAGCAACAAUGACACACAUAACGCUCCCAUAAUGUCCACUUACCUAUAGAUUGAAGCAAAAAUAAAUAAUAAAAACUAAAGAUCAGAUCUGAUCACUAUAAAAUUAAUUAAUUCAUAAUCGUUUUUUCUUAGAAAGAAGAAUAAGGGAAUGAUUAGAACAAGAUUAGACCAUGAUUGUGGGAUUAUAAUCUAAACAAUCGGCUAAGUUUGCGCUGAGCAUUUUGUCUCUUUAUUACAGACACAACACAACAAGAUUUGUUUCGCAUGAUUUGUUAUGUUCAUGUUAAUUUUCUUGAUUAGUUCUAUACAGAUUAUAAAUUAAGAUAUUUAAGGGGGGGGGGUAAUAAAUGUUAAUCCGAUAUAUAUAUAUAUAUACUCUAAUCAGUCAAAGCAUAUAAAAUUUGUACUUUGUAACAAAUAUUUGGUCAGCGAUUUGUAGAAAUAUGUUAUCAGUAUUAUGUACAUCUUUUGAAAGAACUUAGACGGGAAUGGUUGCGAACAUGUUUUUCCUUUGUCCACUUCUAAUAACAAUAUCUUACUUCAAUAUAAAAUCCAAAUUUUAUCUCAAAUUCUUGUGUUCGUGAAUGGCACGCUAUUGCAAUUGCAUAAUGAAUAGUAAAAUAGAGAUAUUGGAUAAUAGUAUAACUAUUAAUACUUAGUACAUAGUUACUUUAUGAUGGAAAUAUUAAAAUUAACUAUAUUCAAUAUAUCUGUGAAAAGAGUUCAUACCACUGUACAUGCUUGCACUCCACAUAUCAAUUCAACAGUAUUAAAAGAUGAUAUAACUAUGAUACAUACAUGUUGAUAGAGUGAUGUGAAAUAAUAAGUUUGUGUUCUGAAAAUACUUAUUAUUCAUUCAUAAAUCAUAAACAUACAUAUGUAAGAUGCAUACUUUCUUUUAUUGUCAACAGGUUACAGGGUUCAGACAUUUUAUAGUCGAAGAGUUGAGCUACGUUAUAUAAGUUUUUUAAGAUAAUAUAAAAAGUAUAGGAAAAUAGAGAAUAUCACUUUACAUUUUCAAGUUGUAUGAUAUAAAACCUCCAAGUCUUAUCAGGUUUUAUAUUAUAUAGCAUAAAUAGAGAAUAUCACUUUACAUUAUCAAGGAGAGAUAGUUAAGCACAUAGUAUUAAUGAAGUUCCUUUCAAAAUCACCGAUGUAAGAGUUGGUAGCCACUUGUGGAAACAGAGAAACAAUGUCUACAGGAAGCCAGCUGCACAAUCUGUAAUUUACCACUUGUAGAUACAGGAAAACAAUGUCCUUGCACAACCGCAUUGUCUUGCCUCCAGAUUCUAUCCACCGGCUUAUAGACAAAGAGAUGCGCAAUACUAUCACUGCAGACCAGAGAGGAAGCACUUCCUAAGUCUCACGUCCAAGUAGAUGCGUUGAUCAACCUAUUAUCACUAUGUUUUUUUAUUAUUUUUUUUGCCAUGGUGUAAGAUGCUCUAGAUUCUAUUUUCUGUAAAUCUCUUUUCAUAUCUAUGAUAUUUAACUUUUAGCAAAAAAAGAAGAAGAGAGUUUGUAGCUUCUCUGUAGCGAAGGUCAAUAUGAUCACAUACCAAUUUGUCUAUUAUAAGGAGGUAGUUUCCUCGAUGGUGCCGUCUCCCAUACUAUUAUCUCCACACAUGAUAAAUCAUUGUUUGGAACGUUAGUUGAGUGUAAACCGAGCAGGGACAUAGAACUCAAUUGUGGUUGAUGAUAUGUCUUAUUUUGUCUGACCAAAUAUUAAGGUAUAUUGUUGAAUGCUAAAAUUAUUGUUUUAAUAAGCACUCAUCAAUUACUCAAUGAAAUCACUUUCAGAAAUUGUAAAAUAAAAACAAACAAAAAAACUAUAUGAUAAAUGUUAGGGAAUAAUAUAAACAUGUAAAAUCACCAUUCCAAAGUGUGAUUAUAUAUGCUAUAUAACAAUUCCUGUAUCGUUAUUGGUAGGUCCAUGACCUAGAAUCUCAACUUAGAAAUUUAAUCGAGAGAAACAAAGAAUUUCGCGAUGGACCACGUAAAAGACAACAUACUUAAGAAAAGAGAACUGUAUCUUAUGGUGCAAGUCACUAUGCAAGCUUCAAUCGCUGUAAACUUUCAACUUGUUAGUGGAUAAAUUAUAAACAACAAAUUCGUGUUCUUAUAUAUAUAUAUAGGUAUAUAUAUUCUUAUGCAUAGAGGAGGAUACUAUGCAUAAUGUAAUCUCAGUUCAUCAUUUUAUUGCGUUCUUAUCCGAAUCUCCAUGUCACUUUCUUAUAGCGUCUUAUCCUACCUUGAUUAUAUAUCCAUCCACUAAGAGUUAACAUAUCCUUAAACAAUCGAAAAUAGCGACAGAUUAGUGAUAUGAAUUGUUUGGCUAUGAAACAAUGCUAAAUUAUAAUGGUUUUGGACCUUUUGUGUACAUUUUCCAACGGGUCACAAUUAGAUUUUGUAUAAUCAUUUGUAGUUUUACUAUAAGCCACGCCAUGUAUUGUAUAUAGUAACUAAAACAUAUUUAGAAAGUUACUGAAUCUACAUUGGUUUGGUUGGAAUUGGAAAUAUAGCAAUGAUUAUAAUAUAAACCUUCAAAAAUGUAGCGUUGGGAAUUCUUUUGUGCAGGACAAAAUGCUGCCAAAGAAGCAUUAGAAAAGGCCUGAAGCACAUAGGCAAAAUUUAGAACCUAAGAAGAAGAAUAAACAUGUGAUUUAAAUACUUAUUUUUGGGUUAUCUACUAGGAUGAACCUUUAGCUCCACAAACCAAUAGGAUUGUAUUAUUUCAUAUUCAAUAUUUUUUUUUUAAAAAAAACAAAAUAUUGUCAAAUUAUAUUAUGUUUUUAAAAUAAAAAAAAAUUAAUAAAAAAUAGUAGUAAUUAUAAAAAAAUAUUUUUAACGUCGUCAGCAAAACACUAAAUCCUAAACUAUAAAUAAAAAACACUAAACACUAAAACACUCAAGGGUUUAGGUUUUAGUAUUUUAGUGUUUUUUAUUUAGAGUUUAGGAUUUAUCCAAAAAUUUAGGGUUUACCCAAGGGUUUAGGAUUUAGGGUUUAGGGUUUAGUUUUUUGUUGACAACGUUAAAAAUAUCUUUUUGAAUUUUUUUUUAUAAUUACUAUUAUUUUUAUUUAUUUUUUAUCUUUUUAUUUUAAAAACAUAAUAUAAAUUUACAAUAUUUUGUUUUUUUUAAGAUAUCGAAUAUGAAAUAACAAAAUCUUAUUGGUUGCUGAACCUAUAAGUUUACUCUAGAGGAUGAACCCAAAAAUAACUCUGAUUUAAAUAUAGUAUUAAGGAAAACAAGUGACCAUGAAAUUCAAGAUUCAUGCAGUAGAAUAGUCAAAAAGAUGUUGCCUAUAAAGUUUUCCUGCAUAUGGUAGGUUUAAUUGAAUAGAUGAUUAGAUGGGAUUAUCAAAGAAAAUAAGGAGAAUAAAAAGAAGAGGACAUGGCUGAUAAAAAGACGAGAAGAGAACACAAUCAAAGUGUAUAUGCAUUUCUGUUAACUUUGUUAAACAAAAGUUUCAAACAAAAAAAAGUGGCAGACAAAAGAGUGAAACAAAGUUGACUAUUCGAAUCUCCAAGCGUGAACAUGAAACUGAUGUCUUGUCAAUUGUCAUUUAUUCCAUACGCUUAAUUGUUUUGUUUCUUUUUGGUGUUGUUAUGAGAGGUUAAAAUCGUUAGCUUUUAAUAUUUUUAAUAUUUUUAAUGUCAUUAACAAUGUAUGUGAAUGUCAUAUUGUAAAUCCACGGUUCUUUAUCUACGGAGGUUCACAGAUUUAUUGUUCUCAAAACCCAUUGAUUGGGAUCUUCAACGUCGAAUUCGACUUCUUUGCGUUUUUUCUAACGCAGAUUUUACGACUACAAGUGAAGCUUCUCUACGGAUUUCUUCUCUCUUUAGUCACAUCUAUCUUUCGUCAUGUUUUAGUUAUUUUUGCUUAUCAGUUUACCGUCGAAAAUCUCUCCAGUUGUAACCGACUUAGUCCAUUGGACAUUUAGUUUUAAUAUAAGCAUCUGAUGUUAAAAAAAAAAGAAAAAGUAAAGGGCCGUACGUAUCCGGCAAAGCAAAACAGAAACAAUUAUCUCAAGUCGUGUCAUUUUCUUACACCUUUUUCAAUUACUUUAUACAACGGUAUCAUGUACAGUAUGCUACACGCACAACAAUGGUAUAUAGACAAUCCUCAAAUUUACGGUUUUUGAAAAAAAAAAUACACAACUUUGGGUUUUCUAAGCGCCUUGAAUCUCUUGUUAAGUAUGGAGUUCCUUAGUGAUAAUGGGCUUUAGUUAACAAACGGCUCACGAUCUCUUGCUUUCACUAAAAACAUCUUUGCAACAACAUUUCUAGGCGUUGAAUCAAUUAAAACCGGUAAGAGUUCCAUGCAGGGAGCUUAAACAAAUAAAUGUAUGAAUGAUUUGUAACGAGUAACCAUUAGAUUAAUGAAGCUUUAGAAAUGAGAAAGCAAAAAACGGAAAAAAAAUGUUAUAAACUAUAUAAUAUGCUCGAAAACAUACUUGCAUCCCACUUUGUUUUUUAGAAAAUUUGAUUUUUCACUCGCUAUAUCAUAUUGAUACUCGUUUUAAAACUUUAGUUUUUCCAGUUUCACUUCAUCUGAUCUAUUAAAACAAGAGUAUAAAAUAAAAAUACUCUUAGUGGGGCUUAUUGGAUCGAUGAUUUGUGGGGAUUUGGAGAUAUACCAAAUUCAAGGGGUUUUAUAAGAAACUGGGAUUUGAGAAAAUUUUUAGGAGGUAAUUAGAAUGGAAUUUGGAGAUUUUAGAAAAAAAAUAAAAUGAAUAAUUUGAAUUUCAUUUUUUUUUAAAACAGACACAUUAUUAUACUUGCCCAGAAGAUAUGAAAACUACAUCUGAAAUCAUCAAGAUUAUACUCACUAUUUGUGGCUUGGCCAUUAGGUACAUGUAGCAAACCACUCUAUCUUUUUUUUGAGAAAAAACACACAAUCUUUCUCAAUUACAUAUGCAAAGAUGGGGUCUCAAUACAUUAGUUAGAAACUGUAUAUCUGAUUAACCCUCACAGAUCACUUUUAUUUUCCCGCAAGCAAAACAAAGAGAUAAUAACUAAUGACAAUAGACAACUUCGUACCAAAUGCAUAGCAAUAUUGUAAUCAUCUAAAGGGGACUGAUUUCUACUCAAUUUUGAUUAAGCGAGCAAAACAAAACUCAUCUAGACUGUGACAACAAAGAUCUUCAAGUAAAUCGAAGUACUAAAACACACAGAACACUAUGUAUGUCCCACAAUUGAUGCCAUAAGACAGAAGAAGUUUCAGUAAUUCCACUUCCCAAUGUAAUUGUUUAGUCACUGCACACACAAGUCCAUAUAACCAUAAGACUGAAGGGUAUAAAACUCAACAACAGUUCAGUUGAAAUCUUAUAAUAGUGAUGAUCAAAUUGGUCCACACACUUGGCAAAAAAUAUGCAGUGUUUGCUGUAUUCGAAGAUGGACUGGCUCGCUGACAAAAUGAGAGGCUGCGACCAUACUGUCUCGGCUACUCACGGCGACAUGGACCAGAACACAAGAGACAUCAUCAUGACUCAUGAUUCAUGAGGCAGUUACGUCCGGUUCUUUGCAUGUUCUCAUCACCACAGAUCCUUGGCUUGUGGUAUCAGUGGCCAGCAAGUUUCACUCGGUAUCAAUGUCCGUAUAUAGGAAGUGGAAGGUUCGGGUCUUCGAGAGAAAAGGUGUGUCAAUCAAUUUUGUGACGUGUGAUGAUGAGAUAGUUAUGUUAUUCAGAAGUUAUAUACCAUUGUUGUUAAGGAGUUACCUUUCGAUGUUGCCAGUCUACUGUGACUGAGAACUUCGCCGUCCGUACUAUCACCAGAAAAGAAAGGUUUCUUGUUUUGAAAGGGUCUCUUUGAUCUGAUUUUUGACCCCUUCAUUUCUUUCUCAAUUUACGAACAUACGAGAGCGACAAACCAUUUCUAUGGUUUGAUCAUUUUAUUUCUGGGUUUGUAGGUUUAAAGUGAGGAGAUAUAAUAAUCGCCUUUUUCUUCUUUUUGAAAUUCCAUAUCUUUACAUGGUAUUCAUUGCUAUUGUAAUUCAAGUGUAAAUAAUUUUUUUCUGAUAAUUCACAAAAAUUCUUGAUAUGUAUCAUUGAUGAAAUCCAUAUUUUCCAAUAAGGAUAGAUUUGAUAGGAUUUUUACAAAUGUUAUAUCCAAUAACCUAGGAUUUAUAAGAGUUUUUAUAAAUAUCAUAUCCAAUAAGAGAGGAUUUGGUAAAAUUCUACUAUUUGAUGAAACCCUCAGUUCAAUAAGCCCCCGUUAAUUUUGCAAGUUAUUUACAUUUCAAUGUCACUAAUAUAUUUAAUGAACAUAUCUUUAAGUUUUAUUUGUCUUUUACAUAUAAAUAAAUGUAUGUUCUAAAUCUAUUUUGAAACAGAAAAAAAAUGUUAAAAGCUUAAAAUUAACUCCACAAAAUAUUCCUAAUAUCAAAAACAUUCCAAAUUAAAGCAUUCCUAAUGUAUUGCUAUCAAAUUAAUUAAAAAAAAAAAUCAAUCUUUUGUAUACAAUCUAUAUUCUUUACUUGAAUAUUUGAAACACGAAUAUUCUUUUUAUAAAACUACUUCAUAGUAGAAAAUUAAAUGUUCUAUUACAAAAUCAUAAUAUAAAAUCUUAACUAACCAAAUAUGAUCUACUAUAAAAUAUUUUAAAUUAAUAUGAAAUAUUUUAUCGUAAAAUAUUUUAUAAAUUAAAUUUUUUUUUAAAAAAUGUGAAAUAUUUUGUCUUAAAAAUAGCAUCUGAUACCUAACUAUUUAUUCCUAAAGAUUAAAAAUGUUUAAAACACAUGUAAAUAAUCAAUUAAUAUCACCAACUGGAAAAUAAUUAUGUAAAAUAAAAAAAUGUUUAUACAUAUGAAUUUUAUAUUUACGUUAUUGAUUCUAUUGGAAAGAAAAUAUAACAAGACAAAUAUAUAUAAAAUUGGCUAAUAUUAUUGCUGUUGAAAAUAAAAUAAAAUUAUUGUCGAUCUCUCUUAUCAAAUUAUGUGUUUAAAAACUACAUAUUAAACAAUUAUUUCAUAUUGGUAAGUUUUUAAUAUAUAUAUAUAUAUAUUUAUAAUCAAUCUUAUAAAAUAAAUUUUAGAUAAUAUAAAAAUUAAAUAAAAUACUUGCACGGGCGUGCAUGUCAAAAUCUAGUGACUACAUCAUAAUAUUUUUACCGGUUUCGUUAUAUUCUUCUAUUGUUUUUAAAUCUAAGUUGUACGAAGACAUUUUCAAGUUUUAUUCGUUACCUAGAGCAACCAUCAUAUCCUCUUAUCAUAUAUCCUUAGACUUACACCGAUCAUAUCUUGCAACCAUCAUCAUAUCCUCUUUUCUUGAUUUUACAAUUGAGUUUUCCGUCCGUCGGCCUACUUUAUUCGGAUGGAUCAUGGAUAUUUUACCUAGUUGGGCUUAAUUUGAAUAUUGGUCUUUAUGGGAAAAUGGCUAUGUUGACCUUCCUUUUGGGCCCACGAAAGUUCCAAAUUACAUCGUUGACUAAAUGAAGAAUAUAAAGUUCCCAUAUAGUUUUCCUCGUUUUGACUUUGGAAAUUAAGUCUAGGCAUCCUAAAAUACUUACGCAUAUAAUUUGGAAUUUCAUAUGAAAAAUAUUUCUAAAAGCGUAAAAAAAAGUAUUGUGUGAAAAUUUGAGGUGAUUCAUAAAAGAUCUAAGCAAGUAGAGAGAGAAUUUUUACCAAAAAAAAAGUAAAGAGAGGAAAAGGCAACACAGUACGAUGAGAUCUCUAAAAAGUCAACUCGUUAAUUAACUUUACAGAGAGGAAGUGGCAAGAUGAGACUGUUGCGGGUCACGAAGUUCGAAGCCGACCACGUUCUUAGUUUUAUUUUACCAAAUUUUUAUAUUUGACUCCAAUCACCAAACUUUCGAUUUUGCAAAGCUAUAUGUUUAAAUUUUAAAAUAUUUAUAUUAACAAACGUUAGGCUUAGAUCCACCGCUUUUUCUCAUAUAAUGUUUUCAAGUUGAUCUAAUUUGACUUAUAUUUGUUGAAAUAUUGUAGCCAAUACAUAUGAUGAUCAUUCCCAUCAGAAUGACUUAGUUAUUAAAAACAAUUAAUUGGUAUUUGAUUAUUAACACCAAUAAAUUCAAAUUUGAUUAUAAAAAACAAUUAAUGAUACUAAUUCAUUUAAACUAUAAGCUACCAUAAUAUUUAAAAUUAAAAAUUAUAUUAAAAAUUGGGAUUACAUCUUCAAGUUUAAGAAAUAAAAAUAAAUAAAUGUUCACUCUAAAAAUAUAUGGAUCAAUAAACUAGACAUAACUCUUGUGAAACUAUUGAACUCUGAAAACUCCAAUAUUUUUUUUUUUGAUAAAGCAUUCAUAAAUCACGGCGAAAACUCCAAUAUCAUAUUAUGGUUAAUGGCUAUGGAGUAUAUAUUGUAUUCUGAUAUAGAAAUCUUUUCAUCUAUUUAUUUAUUGACUAUUGACCAAACUAUCUUAGGCUGAAUGCACUUUAAGUACCUAAACAAAAAGGACUAUUCACGAGUAAAUCAGAAUCUAGUAUCAUAUUAAUAUUGUAUAAAAAAAUAAAUAAAAUAGAGAAUCGCAUGUUAAAUGGCGUGAAAUACUGAAGCACAGCACUUGCUUCGUUUACAAACUCUGCUUUGAACCUCACGUUCCUUAAGCUUCUCAAAAGUUCUUUUAACGUCUCCUCUAAGGUAAAAUAGUUUCUGCUUUUAUUUAGUUUCUUCAUCUUCUUCCUCUGCUGCAACAUCUCCACGUCUAUAUUGAAGAAAUAAAGAUGAAAUAUUCUCCAAGAUCGGACGGCAGAAAAUUCAUCAUCCCUUCUUUCUUAUUCAUCGUGGCUCUCUGUGUAUUAGCUUUCAUCAACGAAGUUAGAUUCGACAGUUUCUUGAGUUUCGGACGAUGUGCUUUGUCGAAUGUUCCGAGGAACAGCAGUUCAUUGGAGACACCGUUGUUGUCUUCUUCUUCAGAUGAUGAUGAGAUUAGGAUACUUAUUGGGAUUCUUACACUUCCCGAUCAGUACCCACGUCGGCAUUUUCUCCGGAUGAUCUACGGCACGCAGGAUGUUCCCGCCGGCGUUAAGAUCGACGUGAAGUUUGUGUUCUGUAACUUGACUAAAGAAGACCAGAAAGUGCUUGUCGCUUUGGAGAUCAUGCGUUAUGAUGACAUCAUUAUACUCAAUUGCAACGAGAAUAUGAAUAAAGGUAAUUGGUUUAUCUCGGUUUAUAGUCAAUUUCGGUUCGAUUUGGGUUGAAGUUGAUUUAUUUAGUUCGCUUUGAAAACGAAUUUCCCAAUUCAAGCAACUGUUAUUUUUGUUAGGUUUUGGUUUGGUAUAUACAGGCUUGGUUCUGAUUUGGUAUACCAUUUUAGAAUAAAGUUUUUUUUUGAAAAAAAACAUUUUAGAUUAUAGUUCAAUUCAGUUUAACAUGGUUUCAAUUUUUGUUUUAUAAAAAAUCGUUUAUUUAGAGAAUUUACAAGCGCAGUUAGGCUAUAAUUUUCUAUAUAUUUAAUUUAUUUCAGUUUAGCAAAAAAAAAAAAGAAGUUUGUUUCACUUUAUAUUAGGAUUUGUUACUAUAUAAACACACAAAAUUCCAGUUGAAUUUAUUCUAUCUCUUUCGGUUCAGUUUUCAGUUCGAUUUGGACUAGCUUAACCGAUUGGAAUAGUUGUAACACUUUUUAACUAAUUUAAUUCUUCUAUUUACAGGCAAGACCUACACAUACUUCUCAAGCUUACCUGACUUAUUCAACGAAACCGAUGCACCAAACCCACCAUACCACUACGUAAUGAAAGCCGAUGAUGACACGUAUAUAAGACAAGAAAGCCUCGUAGCAUCUUUAAGACCAUUACCUCGAGAAGAUCUCUACUACGGCUAUGUCAUUCCAUGUCCAAGCAUGGACCCGUUCGUACAUUACAUGUCAGGAAUGGGCUACUUAGUCUCGUGGGACAUCGCAGUUUGGCUCAAAGACUCUGAAAUUCCCAAGAAACAUCUAGAAGGUCCUGAAGACAAAGUGUUUGGCGACUGGAUUCGAGAAGGAAGACGAGGGAAGAACCGGUUUAAUGCUAAAUGGUCCAUGUAUAAUUUCCCCGAGCCACCGACUAGAUGCACACAUGAGCUAUGGCCUGAUACUAUUGCGGUUCAUUUGUUGAAGAACCAAGAGAAGUGGAUACGGACAUUGAACUAUUUCAAUGUUACUAGCAAUCUUAAGCCUUCUAAAUUAUACCACAUACCGUAGAUAGAUCCAUCUGAUUUAUUAUAAUUCAUACUUGUUUUUUAAUUGGUUUUGUGAUCGUUAAUGUCUUUUUAAAGUUUAAACAAUCGUUUGUCUAACUAAGGAUUUCAGAUAUGUUCAAUAGUCUUAGAAUACUUGUGGGCGUUUUCAUGGUGGCCCAAAAAAACAAUGUUCAACAUCAAUAUAUAUUAUCUUAUAAUCAGUUUAAGUACAUUACAUUACUUUUUAAUGCUAAUUUAUUAUACACCAAAAUAUAGACGAUAUUUACAUCCAAUAAUUCUAUAAAAUAAUUUUAUUCACACCAAACUAAACUGAACCAUUUGAUAAAAUUUUAUGUCUCACGGUUUUGUUUGCACAAUGUUAGAAAUUUUAUUUUUCUUCACUAAUCUGCUUACUGAAAUUAUAAAACAAAACCGGGUUAACAAGGGAAGCUCCAUGCAAACCGAUUGCAGGGGUCGUAUCGUCAUUUCGUGCAGCUGACGAAGCGAUUCGGCUUGGGCCAUCAAAAUGGGCUUCACGAGCUGGACACAGCUUUGUCUGUGACAGAACCUACACUAUAUCACAGGCGAAUUAGCAAAAAGGCUUUUCUCAAACAAGAAAAAAAAAAAAGCGUGCGAGCUCGUGACCUAACGAACCUCAACGCCAGGUGACAUUAUCAUUGCUCACGGCGAGAACGUUGGCCUCCUCGUCUCGUCUCCCUUUGAGUUUAUCGAGGCCUUUUUUACUACUUACUGUCUUCUUCUUCAAAGCCGCCGUCGCCUGAUUCCACCAUCAUCGAGGGCGACGGAGCAGCUAGGGUUUAUCAAUCGACCGUGAACCGUUUCGGUGAUACUAUUCGUCGAUCUUCCGAUUUGGUAAGGAAUCUAGAUAACGAGCUAACGUUCUUUGUUGAUUCAUGUGGACUUCGUGAGAUUGGCUUUGGAUCGAUUCGAUUCGAUUCGAUUCGAUUCUGUCGAUCUUUUUCUCGCCAUUUGUAUGUGUGUGUGUGUUUACUUCCAUAGAUAGUUUCGGUAAACCUGAGGAGUACGUAUUGUGAUUACACUCAUUGCUUGUUGUGAUUCUCUUUGAUUUUAUUCGUGAUUGUAGUUUCAUAUGUAUAGGCGUGGUUCUUGUGGCAAUGAAGAAUUGCUUUCUGCUGCAGCCUCUGUUGUUGCGGUUGAUAGCUUUAACUUUUAGGUAUUUGAAGAUUCUGAUUGGUUGAUUAGCUCAGAGCAGUGUUAGAACUUGGAACAUAUCUUUUUGUGAAUUGUUCAAUAUUGAUGACAUGCCUUUGAUUAUGUGUUGCUUCUGAAUGGUCAGUGUUUGUUUGCUGAGCUUCUUUUCUACACUAGAAGAUGGGAAGCAGUCCAGCUCCGUUUCCGGAUAUUGGCAGGAAAGCCAAAGGUAAGUUUAGCAGAUCGUUGUCAUUGCUUUUUCUGUGUUUGUGGUUCCCUUUUGCUUCUCAGUGCUGGCCAUUUAUUUACUAUUUGAUAAUUUGCAGAUCUCCUGAACAAGGAUUACAUUUUCGACCAGAAGUUUACUCUGACAAUGCUGAGUGCCACUGGAACGGUAUGUCGUAUAUCAGCUGCAAUCUUAGUAGGCUAAAUGCUUAUAUGACCUGCUGAAAAUUAUCAUGCCUUCAAUGUAGAAUCUCUGCGGGUACAUGUUUUUUUGGGGGUGGGGGGGGGUUCAAAAGUUAGAGAUGCAUACCAUAAAAUUCGUUAUUAGAAAGAAGCAGUCAACUCAAUUAAAAAUAGGAGUACUUCAGAAUAGCUGCUCUGCAUGCCUUUGAUUUGAUUCGUAAAAUUGUUGCACUAGUUCGUAGAAGCAGGUUCUUUGAUAGCUCGUAUUUCGUAGUUAAUGUACAUACUCUGGUUUCCAAAAACAUGGACUUCGUAAGCUGGAGAACAUUUGUUGUAGUUUUGUUGUCAGCUAAUUAUGAUUGUUUGGCUCAGUUUCUACUUCAAACAGUUGCACUUAAUUAACUUUGAACCUAUUUAACUAUACCGUAAUAUAAUUUUCUUUCCAACAGGAAUUCGUGGCGACAGGUUUGCAGAAGGAUGAUUUAUUUUUUGGCGACAUAAGCACACUAUAUAAAGGUCAAAACACCAUUGUUGAUCUGAAAAUCGACAGCCACUCAAGUGUAAGUAAAUAUCUGUAGUGAUGCAUGCUUUCUGAUCUUUUGCACCUUAACUGUCCUUAAACCAUAUUACCGAAACGUAUUUAUGCAGGUGUCGACAAAAGUAACUGUCAAAAAUCUCAUGCCAUCUGCUAAAGCUGUUAUCAGCUUCAAAAUACCUGAUCACAAGUCUGGCAAGGUCAGUGCAUUAUAACUCAUAUAAGAAACGACUACUCUAGUCUCAGUCAGUUUCUGCACGCUUUAGUCUUAACAUGUGUCUCUGUUAUAAUUCAGCUGGAUGUGCAAUACGUUCAUCCCCAUGCGACGCUCAAUUCCAGCAUUGGCCUCAACCCAACUCCUCUGCUUGAUCUGUCAGCAACUAUCGGAAGCCAGACUGUUUCCCUUGGUGGUGAAGUUGGUUUCGACACAGCUUCCUCGUCACUAACCAAGUACAACGCCGGAAUUAGUUUCAACAAGCCAGACUUCUCUGCUGCGCUCAUGCUGUAAGUAACAACAAACACCAUGCUCCUCCCUUUAAAACCCUUUUAUGGAACUGAAAAGAGUGAUAUAACUUGUAGGGAGGAUAAAGGGGAGAGUCUAAGAGCUACUUACGUCCACACGGUGAAUCCAACCACAUCCGUUGGUGCAGAACUGAUCCGUCGCUUUUCCAAUCAUGCCAACAGUUUCACCAUCGGAAGCUCUUACUCCGUGGAUCCUUUUACAACGGUGAAGACAAGACUCUCUAACAAUGGGAAAGCAGGGAUGGUGGUACAAAGGGAAUGGAGACCCAAGUCUCUCAUAACUCUCUCAGCUGAAUAUGACUCGAAGGCUGUGAACUCUUCACCGAGGGUUGGUCUCGCUCUCGCCCUCAAACCAUAAAAGAAGCAAGUGUUCUCUCAACUUGGAAUACAAUUUUUUCACCAUGCCCAAAGAAAUGUAUUUUGGGUUAUUAAAUCACUUUUGCACUAAUCUUUUGCUUUAUUUAUUUUCAUGGUGUGAUAUGAAAGAAAAGGGAGUGAGAAAACCCCAUUUUUGGAAAAGAAAGUUGUUUUUGUUUCUUUAGACUUCUGUUUCAAGUUGAUCAGUUUGUAGAGAUACAAAUACAGUAGGCCAACAUAGAUAUAGUCCAUCAGGAUGGGCUGAUAUCAUCAAUCAAUAAAAGAUUUGGCUAAGAGUAAUUCUGCAAAUUCAAACUUUUCUGUCUUGCUUAUUAAGACCAAUCAUUCAUUAGUCUACCAAAGAGAUCUGUUCUGACAACGCAUUCCUUGGUGAAAAGAUCUAGCCAGUCUUUUCUAUUAUCUUUUUUUUGUCUCACUGAGAUUUGAGAGUUCACUACCUAAAUAAUCUAAGCAAAACAAACGGAGUGAUGUUUGAAAGGUAUCAGUUUUCACCACCUCAGCAUUGAGUAUACUUGCAUUUUCCAUAAUAGUAAUUACCUUCCAUAUUUUAAAAUUUUCUUUCCUAUGAGACUAAUCUUAAAAUCAAAUAACUUUUUACGGUUUAUAAUAUCUAAACUUUAAUAGUAAACAUUGAUUCAUUUUUUUAAAGAAAAAAAACGAAAAAUUUGACCAAUAAUAAAAAAAAGAACAGAAAUGUCUCAAACAAAUCUUGACCAUAAAUCAUUCAAAUUCAGCAACCUCAUUAAUAGUCAUAAAUUCAAAGAAAAUUACAAAACUCAAAUUUGUUUUUCUUUUCUCUUUCAUUUUACACUUGUUCCUUAACCUCUUUGCAUUUGUCACUAUCACCAUUCACCACACUCUAACAUAGCUUUACAUUUUUUUCUGAACUACUCCUUUUCUAUUUAACUCUCUCUGUAAAGUUUUUCUCGCGAAAUUUGUCAAAGAAAAUGAAAAAAGAACCCUUAUUAUAAAUUGAAAGAGACCAUCUCUUCUUGAUCUCUCAAAGCUUUCACUUUUUAAAAGAAUCUUCUCCUUAGUUCACACACUUUUCUCAAAAAUCCUCUGUUUUCUCUUCUCCCUUUUGUCUCUGCUUUGAUCUCAUCUAAAUAAACAAAAAAAAAAUGAAAGAGUAUUGGACAUCACUAGCAUCACUCCUCGGCGUCUUAGCUUUCUGUCAGAGCCUAAUGCAAUCAAUAAUCCCACCGGAGCUCCGUUUCGCCUUCCUCAAAUUCUUCAACCGAACCUUCCACCUCUUCUCCUCCUACUGCUACUUCGACAUAACGGAGCUCGACGGCGUCAACACCAACGAGCUCUACAACGCCGUCCAGCUCUACCUCAGCACCUCCGUUUCCAUCGCCGGCAACCGUUUAAGCCUCACCCGCGCCGUCAACUCCUCCUCCAUCACGUUCGGUCUCUCCAACAACGACUCCAUCGUCGACACUUUCAACAACGCCACCGUCCUCUGGGAGCACGUCGUCACUCAGAGACAAACUCAGACGUUCGCGUGGAGACCGUUACCUGAAGAGAAACGUGGGUUCACUCUCCGUAUCAAGAAGAGAGACAAAACAUUGAUCUUAAACUCUUAUCUUGAUUUCAUCGCGGAGAAAGCUAAGGAGAUCCGUCGGAAGAACCAGGACCGGUUGCUUUACACGAACACGCGAGGCGGGUCUCUGGACUCGAGAGGGCAUCCUUGGGAGUCUGUUCCUUUCAAGCAUCCGAGCACGUUCGAGACUCUUGCGAUGGAUCCGAAAAAGAAGCAAGAGAUCAUGGAUGAUCUUAAGGAUUUUGUGUUAGGUCAAAUGUUUUAUCAGAAGACAGGUAGGGCUUGGAAGAGAGGUUACUUGCUGUAUGGGCCACCGGGUACCGGUAAGUCUAGUAUGAUCGCAGCCAUGGCGAAUUAUCUAGGCUAUGAUAUUUACGAUCUUGAACUCACUGAGGUGCAUAGCAACUCGGAGUUGAGGAAGCUGCUGAUGAAAACGAGUUCUAAGUCGAUAAUUGUUAUCGAAGACAUCGACUGUUCUAUCAACUUGACGAACCGGAACAAGAGCAGUGGACUCAAAGCCGGUCCUGAGCAUAGGCAAGUGAAAUAUUAGUUUUAAUAAUUGUUUUAAAAAUUAUUUAUACUAAAUCGUUUAAGACCUCCAAAAUCUCAGGAUCGGCUCUGAAACACGAAGUGGGUCAGGUUCGGGUGAAGAGUCUGGUAAUGGGAACACAAUAACGUUGUCUGGUUUGUUGAACUUUACGGACGGGCUUUGGUCUUGUUGUGGAAGCGAGAGGAUCUUUAUCUUUACGACCAAUCAUAUAGAGAAGCUUGAUCCUGCGUUGCUUAGGAGUGGGAGGAUGGACAUGCAUGUGUGCAUGAGUUACUGUGAUUUCUCGUCGUUGAAGAUUUUGUUGAGGAACUAUUUAGGGUACGAGGAGGAAGACGUGGACGACGACGUUUUGAAGGAGAUGGAGAGAGUGGUUGAGAAGGCGGAGAUGACGCCUGCGGAUGUAAGUGAGGCUUUGAUCAAGAAUAGGAGGGAUAAGGAGAAGGCGGUUAGGGAGUUGUUGGUGGAGUUGAAGAGUAGAUGGGAGAGAAAUGUGAAAGGUGGGAAGUUGAGGGGUCAAAGUGGAAAUUUGAGGGAGUUGGAAAUUGUGGAGGAAGAAGAGAAGAGGGCUAUAGAUAGUCAAAAUGAAGAUGGUGAUGAUGUUGAAGAUGAAACUGAGCUCGUGGACAAUGUUGGUAAAGACUAGAGAGGAUUCAAAAUAAACAAUGUACAAGAAAAUGGUGAAAACUUGUUAUCUUUCUUCUUUUCUUUACUUGAUAUGGGUUUUCUAUUUUUUUUAUUUUGGUUGUUGAAGUGGUAGUUGAAACCCUGAAAGUGACAUAGCUAGAACAUGUUAGAGUUGUGAAAGUUUUAACUAAACGAAAGUGAUGGAAAAGUCUCACAAAGGUGGUCAGUAAGGCAAAUGGUUGAUGAGGAUAUUGUAUGUGGGAAAUGGGAAUGAAAAAUGCAAAAUGUUUAUCUCAUUGGGUACUAUUAAUUAGCAUUGUCAACUAUAAAAUAAUAUUGGACCAAAAAUUAGUCAAAUUAUAACCAUGUGUUGUCAAUAUUAUAGUAUUUAAAGUAUACAUUCUUAUAUUACUGCGAAAUUUUGGAUUGAAAUCGAGGAUCCUCCUAAAUUUAAAUUAAAACAUAUGUAUAUAGUGUUAGUUUUUGUUUCCAACGUUACUCAGUUAUAUAGCCAUAUGUACAUGAUUGUACCAGCUGAUUCGUUUUAUAACGGUUAUUAUAUCAUGUACACUCAUGGUUUGAUUAUCAUACUAUUUGUAGGAUUUGGGUUGGAUAAUGAAUAGUAAUCACAUGUUAAGUACUUAAAUUAUCCAUCCAAAGUAAUAUUGUUAUUUUUACUCAACAAGUUUAUAUGAUUUAAGAAAAUAUUGACGGAAUUUAUCAAAAACCUAUACAAGAAUUUGGAUAGGUACUGUGCUUAAAACUAAGUGUAAGCCAACCAUGACUGAAAAUAUAUCAGAACUCGGAAAUAUAUUUUAAAAUAUUAUAAUAUCUGAAACAACCGAUUCUUUCCAGCACAGUGGGAUCCGAAGCUUGGAAUUCACGUGACUUGNNNNNNNNNNNNNNNNNNNNNNNNNNNNNNNNNNNNNNNNNNNNNNNNNNNNNNNNNNNNNNNNNNNNNNNNNNNNNNNNNNNNNNNNNNNNNNNNNNNNNNNNNNNNNNNNNNNNNNNNNNNNNNNNNNNNNNNNNNNNNNNNNNNNNNNNNNNNNNNNNNNNNNNNNNNNNNNNNNNNNNNNNNNNNNNNNNNNNNNNNNNNNNNNNNNNNNNNNNNNNNNNNNNNNNNNNNNNNNNNNNNNNNNNNNNNNNNNNNNNNNNNNNNNNNNNNNNNNNNNNNNNNNNNNNNNNNNNNNNNNNNNNNNNNNNNNNNNNNNNNNNNNNNNNNNNNNNNNNNNNNNNNNNNNNNNNNNNNNNNNNNNNNNNNNNNNNNNNNNNNNNNNNNNNNNNNNNNNNNNNNNNNNNNNNNNNNNNNNNNNNNNNNNNNNNNNNNNNNNNNNNNNNNNNNNNNNNNNNNNNNNNNNNNNNNNNNNNNNNNNNNNNNNNNNNNNNNNNNNNNNNNNNNNNNNNNNNNNNNNNNNNNNNNNNNNNNNNNNNNNNNNNNNNNNNNNNNNNNNNNNNNNNNNNNNNNNNNNNNNNNNNNNNNNNNNNNNNNNNNNNNNNNNNNNNNNNNNNNNNNNNNNNNNNNNNNNNNNNNNNNNNNNNNNNNNNNNNNNNNNNNNNNNNNNNNNNNNNNNNNNNNNNNNNNNNNNNNNNNNNNNNNNNNNNNNNNNNNNNNNNNNNNNNNNNNNNNNNNNNNNNNNNNNNNNNNNNNNNNNNNNNNNNNNNNNNNNNNNNNNNNNNNNNNNNNNNNNNNNNNNNNNNNNNNNNNNNNNNNNNNNNNNNNNNNNNNNNNNNNNNNNNNNNNNNNNNNNNNNNNNNNNNNNNNNNNNNNNNNNNNNNNNNNNNNNNNNNNNNNNNNNNNNNNNNNNNNNNNNNNNNNNNNNNNNNNNNNNNNNNNNNNNNNNNNNNNNNNNNNNNNNNNNNNNNNNNNNNNNNNNNNNNNNNNNNNNNNNNNNNNNNNNNNNNNNNNNNNNNNNNNNNNNNNNNNNNNNNNNNNNNNNNNNNNNNNNNNNNNNNNNNNNNNNNNNNNNNNNNNNNNNNNNNNNNNNNNNNNNNNNNNNNNNNNNNNNNNNNNNNNNNNNNNNNNNNNNNNNNNNNNNNNNNNNNNNNNNNNNNNNNNNNNNNNNNNNNNNNNNNNNNNNNNNNNNNNNNNNNNNNNNNNNNNNNNNNNNNNNNNNNNNNNNNNNNNNNNNNNNNNNNNNNNNNNNNNNNNNNNNNNNNNNNNNNNNNNNNNNNNNNNNNNNNNNNNNNNNNNNNNNNNNNNNNNNNNNNNNNNNNNNNNNNNNNNNNNNNNNNNNNNNNNNNNNNNNNNNNNNNNNNNNNNNNNNNNNNNNNNNNNNNNNNNNNNNNNNNNNNNNNNNNNNNNNNNNNNNNNNNNNNNNNNNNNNNNNNNNNNNNNNNNNNNNNNNNNNNNNNNNNNNNNNNNNNNNNNNNNNNNNNNNNNNNNNNNNNNNNNNNNNNNNNNNNNNNNNNNNNNNNNNNNNNNNNNNNNNNNNNNNNNNNNNNNNNNNNNNNNNNNNNNAUAAGUCUCUCACAUAGAGUCUCUCAACAUUAUAUCAAUUUCUAGUGAAAGUUUAGUUGAGUAAUUAAAAUUUAAAGUAAAAAGUUUAAAUCAUGCAACAAAUGAAAAACAAUUGGCUGAGGAUUUAUUAGAGACAAAGAGAAAGUAACUAAAAAAAGAGACGAUUCUAGUUAUUUUCCUUCCCCCUCUCCUACUAUUCUUUUUUAAUACUAGUGUAGCCAGAGACUCAUGUCAAAAAGUAACCGCUGCUGCUGCUCUAAGCUUUGGUCUUUAGAUUGCUUUUGUUUCUGGAUCCCGGUCUUCUUUUCUAGGUUAAAGCUCAAACUAGUUUUGGGUUUAAGUUCCACUUUGUUUGAACUUUUUUCUUUGUUGUUUGCUUCAUUUUUUUCCAUUAGUUGUGUAAAUUUGUCGCUCUCCUUAUGGAAGGACUGCAUUGGGCACGAUAUCGAUAUGAUGUUGGAUGUCACGUAGCGGAGGAAGAUCACUAGGGAGUUCGUCGGGAAACACAUCUUUGAACUCUUGUAGUAGUGGUCCAAAAAGAUGGUGGUGCUUUGAUGGGACUCGGCAGUGAUGUUGGAGAUGCCACUAACGCCCAAAUAAUAUCACCAUCGGAUAUGUACUUCUCGAAUACGGCCUUAGGUACCUGAUAUCUUACAUAUUUCCAUUGUUUUAUCUAUUCACCCAUGUGCAUUUUGAUCAUAUAGAAUAGGAUUUAGCCAUGUUUAGGUUGCAUUUUGCAUACAUGAGUCUUUAUCAGGUAUUGGAGUACCACAUGGAGUUCUUGGAGACAUUUGGGUGCAUUUGGAGCUCAAAAGAGGUGAUAAAGGUGAUCAUUGGACGAGCAGUGCAUGGGAGUGACCUCACCGGAGCGACACCGUGAAGUCACUGUGACACCCCUUCAGAGCGACUUGGCCAGAGCGACACCCCGAUGUCGCUCGCGUUUUCAUCGCUUGGAGGCACGAGAGCGACCUUACAGCGACGUUCCGUAGCGACACCAUAAGGUCGCUCUAGCUGGAGCGACGUGACCGGAGCGACGCAGCCAGGUAGCUCGCGAAGAGCGACCCGGAGCGACGUCUCGCAGCGACCCCUCCAGGUCGCUCCCGAAGCCUGGAGCGACCUCUCGGAGCGACUACUGGAGGUCUGUCCGCAUCUAUUUGUUUGGCCGAAUUCAUAUUUUCUAAGGGCCUUUUGGUCAUUUCAUUAUGCACGUUUUUNNNNNNNNNNNNNNNNNNNNNNNNNNNNNNNNNNNNNNNNNNNNNNNNNNNNNNNNNNNNNNNNNNNNNNNNNNNNNNNNNNNNNNNNNNNNNNNNNNNNCCAAAACCAAAAAAUGUAUUUUCCCGCCAAAACCGAAAAAUCUCGUUUUCCCGCGAAAACCGUAAAAAUGUGUUCCCGCCAAAAACGUGUUUUCCCGCCAAAACCGUAAAACGCAUUUUCCCGCCAAAACCGCAAAAACGCGUUUUCACGUCAAAAUCGCAAAAACGAGUUUUCCCGCCAAAACCGCAAAAACGCGGUUUCUAGCCAAAACCGCAAAAACGCGUGUUCCCGCCAAAAACGCGUGUUCCCGCCAAAAACGCGUUUUUCCGCCAAAACCGCAAAAACGCGUUUUCCUGCCAAAACCGCAAAAACGCGUUUUCCCGCCAAAACCGCAAAAGCAUGUUUUCCCGCCAAAAUCGCAAAAAUGCGUUUUCCCGCCAAAAUCACAAAAACGUGGUUCCCUCCAAAACCGCAAAAACGUGUUUUCUCGCCAAAAACGUGUUUUCCCGCAAAAACCGCAAAAACUUGUUUUCUCGCCAAAUCCAAAAAUUUGUAUUUUCCCGCCAAAACCGAAAAAUAUCGUUUUCCCACCAGAACCGAAAAAUCUUGUUUUCCGCCAAAAGAAAAAAAAAUGUGUUUUCUCGCUAAAACCGAAAAAACUUGUUUUCCCGCCCAAACCGCAAAAAGAAAACUCGUUAAUUUUGAAAUAAUUCUAAUGUAAAUAUAUUAAACUAAAUAAUUAAAUGUAAUAUAGUUAAAAUUAAUAUUAAACAUAUGAUUAAAUCAACACAAAGAUAUUUUGGUAAUUUCUUUACUAAACUCAUUUGAAUGGAAAUGAAAAUAAAGAAACAAACAUAAGAUCCAUUUAGAUGAUUCAUCUAGAUGAGCUAUGUGGAUGGACAAACAAACAAUCACAAAAAUCUGAAUGGAUCAUUUGAAUAGAUCAUACAAAUGAAUCAUUUGGAUGGAGAUGGCAAAUGGUGAAACAAACAGCCCCUUAGUCGACUUUUGUUGCAUGUUUUGCUGCUUCCUGAUCUAUUCAUCAUAUUGCUGUCGAAAAAGGAUAGUCAUUAUUUAAAAUAUGGAGUAUGAUUAGAAUCAUGAUCGCAUGAAGAAAGAAUAGAAAAGUAACUUUGGAGGAAGUGUCAUCUGCAAUAACUAAAGCUUUGAAUAACUAACAUAAUAACAAUACUAAUCCUUUUUUAUAAAACCUUAACAACAAUAUUGAUCACUAAAGCACUGAUUAUACACAACUUCGAUAUGUAGCAAACAAAACGUACUAGGCUAUAUACAACGUAACGAUCAAGAAACGGUAAAAUUUAAGCUUUUUCUCAGAAAAAAAAACAGUAUAGCAAUUAUGAAGGAAAUAAGACUUACCAGGAGAAAGCAAAUUUUGAUCGGUGGGUUUGAUUACGUAUUAAUGUUUAAAUAAGAAGAAGAUGUUGCUAUUAGUUAGUAACAAACCUUAAAAAUCUACCAGAACAGAAUUUUAAAUUUUAAAACCUUAACAAAUCUACUAUCUGACUGCGAUGAAUAACAAGAAAAAUAUUUAAACUUAAUUAAAAUUUUAUUUUUGAUUUAACUUGAUUCCAUUCCAGUCAUUCACGUUCUUUUUUUAUCAUGAAAGUAUUAUAACUAGAUUCCAUUUGGUUCCACCUAUUUCACAGGAAUUAAUGGAAUGACAACUGUUUUUAAUUCAACUUAAAUGGUGCAUUUUUUUUUGGAAUCUCUUGGAAUAAGCUAUUCCAGACAGUUUUAUUCCAAAAAAUAGUAAUCCAGUUACACCCAUGAUCUUUUUGAGUAUUUAUGAAAUCUUGUUUGGAUUUCGUUUCGAAUUUAAACCGUGUGUGCAAAAUCAAUAGUGGAAAAGAUAUGUUGCUAUUAGGGGUGGGCGUUCGGGUACCCGUUCGGGUUCGGUUCGGAUUUUAAUCGGGUUUCGGAUUUUUGGGUUUAAAGAUUUCAGCCUCAUUCGGAUAUUUCUAAAUUUCGGUUUGGGUUCGGUUCGGAUCUUUGCGGGUUCGGUUCGGGUUCGGAUAACCCAUUUAAAUUAUUUUUAAAAUUUUAAUAUUCAUUAUAUGAUUAAAAUUUCUCAAAAUCUAUAAAUCAAAAUAAUAUAUUACAUAUAAAUUUGUAUAAUAUAUGUCAAAAUACCUAAAAUUAACAUAUAAAUUAGUUUGAUUUAAAUAUUUGGAUAGAAAAUCAAUAGAUAUUUCAAGCAUUUUGGUGUUUUGAAUAUAUUUUAGCCAUUUUAGACAUUUACUUUUGACUAUUUAUGUAUAUUUUCAAGUAUUUUAGAAAACUUUAAAGUAUUUUUUAUAUAUUUUGGAUGUUUUUAAUAUAUAUUAAAUCUAAAAAUAAGUGAUAUAUUUAGGUAUAUAAAUCUAUUUCGGUUACAUUCGGGUACCCGAGAUAGUUCGGUUCGGAUCGGGUUCGGUUUCGGUUUUUUAGAUACCAAAAUUUUGAACCCGUUCGGAUAUUUAAUCAAUUUCGGUUCAGAUUUGAUACUAUUUUUUCGGAUCGGGUUUUGUUCGGUUCUUCGGAUCCGGAUUUUUUUGCCAGCCCUAGUUGGUAUUGUAAUUUAAAUCUAUGUUUUUAUUAUUUUUAUAAAUAUCAUUUUUCUCAUUGUAGUAAAUUAAGAUUCGUAUAAACUUUGCUAGAGCUUAUCGAACCAUUUAGAUUCGGAAGUAUUAUAGAGCUUCCUUUAAUUUUACCAAAAAAAGCAUUAGAGCUUUAAUUAUGAUUAAUAGAAGUUUCUAGGAGGAGUUUUUUAGCGUAAUAUAAUAAACCGUCUAUUUAAUUUUUAACUAAUUAUGCUCUUAGAAGCUCCUCUGAUAUGUAACGUGGAGGGAAGCAACAAAAGUAUCAAAGCAUAUUAGACCACCUCCAUCGGGGUCCUUUAGAAGAGGUUCUAAACAAAAGUGAAAAAAAAAUAAUUGGAAAAGCCCAAAAAAAAGAUGGGACCGCUGCUUAACUUGGGCUUUUUAGAACUGGUAAGAAUCCCUGACGUGUCGGUUUGGUAUUGGACAGCCCCCCCCCCACCGACUUCGUCAGCUUCGGCGUGAUGCUCAUCGACUUCGUCCCCACCGAAUCCCGCGUCUCCCUCGCCGGGGCUCCAGGUUUCCUCAAAGCUCCCGGCGGCGCUCCGGCUAUCGUCGCCAUCACCGUUUCUUGCCUCGGUGGACGAUCCGCCUUCAUCGUAAAACUCGGCGACGACGAGUUCGGACACAUGUUGGCUGGGAUCCUGAGGAAAAACGGCGUCGCUGAUCAGGGGAUCAACUUCGAUACCGGAGCCAGAACCGCCUUGGCGUUCGUGACGUUGAAGGCCGACGGUGAUCGGGAAUUUAUGUUUUACCGGAAUCAUAGCGCCGAUAUGUUGCUCCGUCCCGAUGAACUCAACCUCGAUCUCAUCAGAUCGGUACGUAAAUCUCCUCUCUCUAUCCCUCAUGAUCUUCAAGAGAUCCAGAUGGAAGUAGAGAUUCAUAGUCUAGUUUUUUAAAUUAUCGUAUAGAGUUUAAGAGAUGUGUAAGUAUAUGGAAUCGGUGAUUAUUGAUUGCUCUAAAUAUAGUAGAAGAUGAUCUCACUCACUCUAAUUGGAUAUGUAUCAAUUAAUGCUAACUAACGGUGACUUUUGUCUUCUUCCUCUUCACAUGAUCACACCAAUUCUACUUGGUUUAGCCUUUUAUCUGAUCUAGCAGAAGUCUCUGUUUUGAAGGAACUUGACUUUUACUCAUGCACCGUUUUGACUUGUUAGUAGUGUUCGAGUUAUGGGUUUGAGUUCAAGUCUUUUCCUAGUACAAUGAUCUUUUUAUUGUUUGACUCUUGGUUUUUGUGUUGUCACGUUUCAUCAGCUCUGAUUCCGUUGAGUGAUGAAACGUGAUGAAGAAGUAUGGAGUGAAGCCAGAUGCUGAAACCCUUGACAUUGAAACACAACCCUUGUGUUUGCUUUGCAGAUUAGCAUCAACACCAGCAAUGUUUAAUAGUACAUUGACUGAAGAUGAAUCAUUCUUGUACCCUGCUGAUGGGGCUAUCAUGAUAACAUGUAUUCUUAUUGAUUUCGGUUUCUAUAAUAAGUAGUUCUAUAACUCCGACUUUGUAGGAAAGUAUAUGACUCUUGAUGACUUUACUUCAGUUCUUGGCUAGUUUUUUUGUUUGUUUGUUGCAUUUCACUAAGCAUUUCACUUAACUAUAUCAUUUUCACUAUUAUUUUAUCUAUAAAAAUGAUGAUUUUCCAAAUUUUCAUUAAAAUUUUAUGUUUCAUUAAAAUUUUGUGUUCUUAUGAAAUCCAAUCAUUUUAUUUAAAAAAAAAAAUUAAGAACCUUGGUGAGAUUCUACCAUUGGAAGAGAAACAAUUAAAUUAGAUUGACAAAAAUUCUAAAUCUGUCAAAUCACUAUAUUUAUUACUAAUUUAUUGAUUAGAACUCAUAAAAGUUUCUUAUUGAUGGACAUGCUCUUAGUUUGCAAGAGCUUUUUUUUGGCCCAUGUGCACUUUUUAUUAUUUUUGCCUAAAAAGUUAUCAAUGUAAUCGGGAUCUAUGAUCUGGGCCAAUAUUCGUAUUAUCUCCCGCUAAACCAAAUACUUUAGCAAUAUGGCAUAUAGUGAGUUAGCAUUUGGGCCUACUAAAGUGUAAUAUCAUAUUUUUGUAUAAAUAUUUGAAAACAAAUUAAUAUAUUUAGAUCAAUUUAAAACAAUAUAUAUAAUAUAUAACAUAUCACGAAGUUCAGAUAUUUACAAUAUUUGAAAAUAAAAUAUCUUGGGAAUAUGUACUUUCUUUUUCCAAAACACUCCACUUGUGGACCAAUAUGCUCACCAAAAAGGAAAAAGCCGACAAAAACUUCUCUUAGAAAAACUGGCAUGAUUGGGUUGAUAUUUUUUAUUUUUGGUUUUCUAUUUUAAAACGUGAAAGAUAAAAAAAAACCUAAAAGAAUCUGUUUUUUUUGCUAAAUCUGAAAAUUUAGUGGAUAGAAAUAAAUAGAUAUUUAUCCAAAAUCAGAUAUUAUUCGACCAAUUAAGAAACAAAUAUCUUUCAAUUUUCUAAAUUUAAAAGGCGGGGUGGAAAAGAAGGAAAGAUAGACUAAAAGCAACUAUGGCAAUCUAAUCCACCUAGCUACCACCAGCUUGUGAACAGUGAAGAUAUAUCCACACAAAAACCGUUGUUUAUCUUCAGUUUGUUGAAAAGAGAAGCUAUAAAAAGAGCAUAUGAUGCCACAUUCUCCCUGCGAGAGUCACGAGCUCACCAGCCAAUCGGUCAAAAACAACACACAUAUAAAUAUCUUUCUUUUGAUUACUUUCCAACAACGGUCGCUAUCAUCUAAAAGUCAUCUAAAACUCUUCAUAGCCUUCAUUAGUUGAGUUAACUUCCCUUUCAGACACAAACUGGACCCUUCAGAGCUCAUAAACAUCUUCUUCUUUCUUUCUUCUCUCUUUCUCUCCAUCUCUGAGAUGGGUUUGUUUGGGACGAAGAAGAUCGGCAAGUACGAGAUAGGAAGGACAAUCGGAGAAGGGAACUUCGCAAAAGUGAAACUUGGUUACGACACGACCAAUGGUACCUACGUUGCUGUCAAGAUCAUAGACAAGGCUCUGGUUAUCCAAAAGGGUCUACAGUCUCAAGUCCAGAGAGAGAUACGGACCAUGAAGCUUCUAAACCAUCCCAACAUCGUGCAGAUACAUGAGGUUUUGUGUUUCUCUCUAUCUCUCUGUCUCCUCAAAAUCUAAUUUUUUCUUGUUCUUUAAUUCUUGAAAUUUAAACUUCAGGUGAUUGGGACCAAGACAAAGAUCUGUAUUGUGAUGGAAUAUGUUGCUGGUGGCCAGCUUUCAGACAAACUUUGUAGACAUAAGAUGAAAGAAUCAGAUGCCAGAAAGCUUUUCCAACAAUUGAUUGAUGCUGUUGACUAUUGUCAUAACAGAGGAGUUUACCACAGAGACCUUAAGGUUAAGAGAAGAAAUGAAAUUUAUAAGAUUCUGCAAACUCUCUGUUUUUUUUUGUAGGAAACUUUGUAGAUGAUUUGAUUUUUCUUUUUGCAGCCACAAAACUUGCUUUUAGAUUCAAAGGGAAAUCUCAAAGUCUCUGACUUUGGACUAAGUGCAGUUCCUAAAGUAACACUUUCUUAUUCUGAUCAUAUAACUUUCUAUUUAGUAUUUACCAACCAAAUCAUUGCUUGUGAAAACAAUCAAGUACUAAAUAAGGUUUUGGCUAUUAAAUUCAGUCAGGGGAUAUGCUUUCUACAGCUUGUGGGUCUCCGUGCUAUAUAGCACCUGAGGUAAUAACAAUAAUUACUUUGCAUAAUGUUUCAAAAAUAUCUGAACCUUGAGAAGCUGAUUUUUGUUAAUGAAACAGCUAAUUAUGAACAAAGGCUACUCAGGAGCAGCAGUGGAUGUGUGGUCUUGUGGAGUUAUUCUAUUUGAGUUGCUUGCUGGUUAUCCACCGUUUGAUGAUCAUACACUUGUGGUUUUGUAUAAGAAGAUACUCAGAGCAGAUUACACAUUCCCACCAGCAUUCACUGGAGCACAGAAGAAGCUAAUCUUUAACAUUCUUGACCCAAAUCCUCAAAGGGUAUAACACAAGAUAGAAUAUACAAAUAUGCAUUCAUCAUUGUCAAUGCCAAAUUGAGUAAUAAUGUUUGAGAACAUUUGGAUGCAGCGUAUGAAACUAGCUGAGAUAAUCUUUAAAGAUUCCUGGUUCAAGUUAGGUUAUACACCAGCUUAUCAUCACCCAGACUCAAUCAAGGCAAGUUGAUUCCCUAGAUGUCUGAAAUGCUAAUAGCUUUGGGUUGUUAUGUACUAUUCUCAAAGCUCUGUAUAUAACUUAUCUGAAUCUGAUCUUGCAGGAAAAUGUUGCUGAGAUAAAUGCAGAAACCGCGUCUUCAAAUUUCAUAAACGCUUUUCAGAUAAUAGCAAUGUCCAGUGAUCUAGAUUUGUCAGGUCUCUUAGAAGAACAGGUAAAAGACAUCAAAAUUGGUUAAAUCUUUAAACUAAUCUAACAAAAAAGAUACUAAUCCUUGAAACUUUAUGUUAUUGUUAUCUCUCAGGAUGAUAAGAUUUAUAAAACCAAAAUUGGGUCCAAGAACACUGCACAAGAAACAAUCAAGAAGAUCGAAGCUGCAGCUACUUAUGCCAGUUUAUCAGUUGAAAGAAUAAAGCAUUUCAAGGUAUAAUAACUGAAGAUUCUUAUAUAGAUCAUCAAGUCUAAUCAAAGGUCUCAUAUAUAUGCAUCUUUUUUGUUGUUGUUGUUUAUUUACCAGGUUAAGAUUCAGCCAAAAGAGAUAAGAUCAAGAUCUUCUUUUGACCUAUUAUCAGCAGAGGUUAUUGAGGUGACUCCAACCAAUUGUGUGAUAGAAAUAUCAAAAUCCGCAGGCGAGUUAAGACUGUACAUGGAGGUAAACUGAACAAAAGUUACUAAACUCUUUCAAGAAAAAGAAGAUAUAACACUUUACAUAGAGUCAUCUGAUUGUAUGAGACUGUUUUUGUUCACGUGACAGUUUUGCCAGAGUUUAUCCAGCUUACUUACGGCGGAAGUAAGCUAGGGACCAUAGAUUCUCAAGUUAAAUGUCGUGAAAGGCGAUGAAUAUAGGAAGAAAAUAAAGCAUAUGUUGCAGAUUGAAGUUGCAGUGACAUGGAGAGAAUGGAUUCAAAGAGUAAUUCAUAUCGUGUGGUGAUCUCGUAGGGUGUAAAAUAAUGAUUUUUUCCAAGCAAAAUGUUAAAUAGUAAUAUCUUAAGAAUAAAAAUGAAGCAGGCCAAUAUUUUUCAAAAUAAUAAAGUUGUAUGGAUCUUGAAUACAAUUUAAUUAUGAAUACUCACACUUCCUCACAUGCAUUCUAAUCAUUAGAACUUUCUCCCGUACGCACACGAGGUGUGUUCUGUUUUCUCUGUUUUGGAUGCUUACCAAACUCUGCAGACAACUCCUUCUCAGGCACCUUUCGGUGUUGUGUGACCACGAGCAUUUGUUAUUGGAUCUUUGUUUCUUUACUUUGCACGUGAAACUUUCAGAUGGGCACACUGAGAGCACAAGCUUCUGUUCCAGGCACUAGUGUUUCAGUGAGAUGUGAUUUUUACACUAAGACAAGUUUGCCAGAGUUGCUUAUAAGAACCAUGGUAUUCUGAAGUAUGAAUGAUGUAUAAGCUCAAUAGAUGACGUGGAGAGGAAGCAACUAGUCUUCAGAGCAGUUUAAUUUGAUCAACGAAUAACAUCGUGUUUUUUCUUCUUCUUUUCUUUUUUUUUAUGUUAAACCAAAAAAAAUUACAUGAAAGCUAAGAAGCUAUCAUUGUCAAGUUUUUCUUUUGGUGAAAUAUGUUAAGCUAUCAUUGUCAUGUUACUGAUAUUUCAUAUGUUACACCCACAAAAACCUCAUUGAUUUACUAUGUUUACAUAAUAAGUCCACAAAAAUUUGAGGAUGACCACCAUUAGGACACUAGAAACAUCAACAACAACAACAAAACGAUGAUCCAUACAUUAUACAUAUUAAAUGUCUCGGAAAUUUUAAUUUCACUGAGAUAUUUGAAACAGAAAUAUAUAGAAAUUAAAUGGAAUCAAGUAUUAAAAAAAAGAAACACCGUUUAAAGUGCAUUUUUUUUUCUUAGUAAGGCUUCUCGCCAACGUAGUUACCCGGAGGGUCGUAGUUACAAGUGAUGAAAACUCCUGCACCGUUGUCACAGACCAGACUAGCGCACCCGAGCCUUUUGGUGUCACGCCACACCAUCUGAGUGUAGUGACCACACAUUCCACUUCCGUCACACGAGUUGGUGUUGUAGUUGUAUGUGCUUCCUUCAACCACCCAUGAAUGCACUGCGAAUCCUGGUGCCCAGCUCGAGCCACUUCCCCAGAACAGAUUCUCACCGUAUGGGCCUGUGGAAUGGGUCAACGAGCAGUCGUAACGCCUUUGGUUCGCCCACCAUUUCGCGUAGUUCGCUAGCUUGCUGUCCCAAACCAGUGGAGGUAAACCUGAUCAGAAAUGUGAUUCAUUUCAUCAAAAUCAAUAGCAAUAACAUUAUAUAAAGAAAAUCAGAAUUUCUAAAAGUGGAUUCCGAACUUGCGAGAGAUUAUGGAUUUAAAGCACGAAAUUUCAAUUUCUAAAGAAACACAUUUUUUUUUUUUUUUUUUUUUUUUUUUUUUUUUUUUUUUAAUUUGAAUAUAUGUUAAAUUUACUCAAAAAGAAAAAUACACAUUGUUUGCAUCAAGUGCUACAUAAUUCUUAUGACGAGAAAGAUUCUAAAAAAACAGCUCCAUUGUUAGCGUGUGGCAAGCCAAUCGCUUAAGCUUGCAGCAUAAGUAAAGUCCCCCAGCUGCCUAAAAGAUAAACAUUUGUUCCUGAUUUGCCUGUCCAGCAUCUUUACUAAUGCUUGAACUGAGAUCGGAGUUGCCCCGUGCCGUCUAUCGUUUCUCUCACGCCAUAGAGUAUGUAUGGUGAUCUGAAACACAUUACACAUAUAAAAGAUGAAUAUUGGUUAUACAUUUACAUGUAAAACUAAACCUAAAUACAAACCUAAAUACCUAACCAGUGGAAACCUAAUUUGCACCAAAAUUCAAGACUAGCCAUCAUGGUCGUAACACAAAAAAUAACUGGAGGAAUCGAUGUACUAACCAUUAUUAAAACCCAAGGUUUCUUUCAUUUGAAGUAUAUAGUAUAUACAGUACCCAACCAUAAUGGUGAAAUGUAACAAUAUUUAUAACUUUUUUUUUGUCACAGAACAAUAUUUAUAACUAAUAAAUUAAAUACCUAGUCUAGACCGUAGAGCGUUAUGUGGGUCAAGGAACUGUCUUGCGAUUGAGCCAGCUGGUAGACUCGGGAUAGUAGGAGGCCGAUAAACAGGCUUAGGGCUCGGAAGUGGGAUCCAUGGCUUAGGGACGUAGGGGGUAGGGGUAACCGGUGGCCUUGGACGGUAAUAGUCUGCAUGGACUACUUGGAAGGCGACCAAGAUAAGAGAAAGUGUGAAGACAAUGAGUUUGUUCGUCGAUGAACUUGUCGCCAUCUUGUGGUAUGACUAUGAAAUGGGAUUUGGGUGGUGAAGAGAAAUGACUUUGGCGAGUGAUUAUUUAUAAGUUAUGUUUUCAUGAAUUAAAUAACGAGUUUGGACCUUUAGGAUGAUGUCAACUACAUUGUGGCUUCCAUGUUCGAUUAUGGUUACCACUCUUUUUGUUUCGCUUUAGUUAAACGGAUUUUGUGGGUUUUUAAUAUUACCUUUAUGUGCAUGUAUAUGAACUUCUUGAUUAACUAAUGAGGAUCCAGUUGCUUAAAAAAAACUAAUAUGGAUUCGAAGUUAAAAAUAAAUAAAUUAUGUCUGCAUUUUAAAUUCCGAGUUAUGUUUUGCUCUUUGCAAAAUGUAGGUGUAUCUAUAAACGAUAAAAAUAUUUAACUGUUAUCUCAUAUGUAAUUAAAUGCUGUGAUGGAACUAAAUUAUAAUCUUAAGUGUGCAAUAAAAAUUUAUGGAUUGAAUUUUAAUUGAUUUCUUAAUAUCAAGUGGCGCAAAGAAAAUGUGACCGUCCGUGACCUUUUAAUUAUGCUUAUAGUUAAUCAAAUUUAUCAGGUUUACAUGGAUCUAAAUAUAUUAUUUAGCAAUUAACGGAUAAUAGAUUGGAGAUGACUGAAUACAAAAUAUAGCCGGCCUAAGAAUGUUCCCUAUAAGGACUUUUAUCUAAUGGUUUUAUUUAGAAGUUUUAUGAUCACCUUAGCUAUAGUCUAAAUGCUUCCAUGGCUUUUAUUAUAUGCAAAAUUACGUUUUGGUCAAAUGUACAAAAGUAUUUUACUUUCUAGUUGAGUAAUAAAUUAAUUAAUUUUUCUUUACCUGCUUCCAUGUCAUGCGAUUCAUGCUGUUGCCAUGUCACUCUCAGCAACUACUUGCAUCUUUGGAUGGGCCUUUAGAAAUGAAACUCUGCCAGGCCCACUAUUUCAUGGCUUAAUUAGUAAUUAGUCCAGUAAUCCAUGAUUAGCAACUACAGAAAUUAUCAAACACGACUAAUCAAUAAAACUUUGUAAGAUGUUAACAUAUCAUCAUAAAAUGGGUCAGAAAUUAUUUUAAAAUCCAUCCAAGUGUUUUGUAUUCGUUCCAGAACAAAAGAGAAGCAAGUAGAAUUCAUUAUUAUCCACAACUCGUUACAUUUAAAAACAUAUUAUGAAGAAAAAAAAACUUUCACGCUCGACACAUGCUAUAAGCUUAUGAUCGUAAUAAUACAUAAUCAUCAAUAAUUCAUUCCUAUAAUUAUACAUAAAUGUAUAUAUGCAUGACAUAAAUUAUUACACACUAUGGUAACUCAUCUGACCAUAAUCUUGAAGCAUUACCACUCCGUCAGUCGUCUGAUCAAGAACAGAAGCUGAUCCCCAAGAACUCGACGAUGUUGUUUUCCUCUCUAACUCGACUUCCUCCGACCACCAAUUAGAACCGUUCGUUAGCUCAAACUCGUUUCCCACUUGAAACAAUUCUUUAGAACCACCUCUGUUCAUAAGGUCCAUGUUAUGAUCAUCUAACUGAAGAUCCUGCGAAAAACCGAAAUUAGGUUGAAAUCCGUGAGUAGGGUUUAGGGAUUGCUCUACGUUCUCUGAAUAGAGAGGAGAGACUCCAUCGUUGAUCUCAGCUAGCUUGAUAUUAUUGUUCUGAUGAACAACGUUAACUCCUAGAGGGUGGAAGCUUUCUUGGGAUCCAAGUUUAGAGUUUUGAUCAGGAGUGGUUGGAGUACUCUGCAGUAGUGGAUGAAGCUUGGGCCACAACAUAGGGUUGUUGUAGAAACUAGAGAAAGGGCUUUGUAGAUUCUGAAGCUGCAUGUGAAGUUGAAGCCUCUCUAGUGCCGAAUUACUAAGAUUUUGAGGACUCUUGUUGUUGUUGCUGCUGAUAUUGUUUUCAUUCGAAUCAGCAAUCGAGUCUUGACGAUUCAUUUGUUUCUGUCUUCCGAGCAGCUUCUUCUUCAGUUUUGUGUUCCAGUAAUUUUUGAUAUCAUUGUCUGUCCUUCCAGGAAGCUGAGCUGCAAUUAUAGACCACCUGCACAUAUAUCACAUUAAUCAAGAUUACAAUUAAUUAUAGGAAUCUUAUCUUCUUUAUAGACCACUAAUUAACUUCAUAUUUCAUGUAAAUGUAUGAAGGUGCUUCCAAAAACACCAAAACAAGGAGAAAGAGACAAUAUAAACCCUAAAUUCUGUAAGAUGUGCCAUAGCUUGAAACAUGGGCUUGCAUGUGUUUCAGCAUAAGAUUCAUAGACAAAAGGUAAAAAGACAGGGUGGUCAAGUUUAGUUUUUACAGAAAUUACCUCCAAUUCUGAACCCAAUAAUAUAUUAUAUAUUAACUAAGAUGUGUUGAUUAAUUUAGUUAUCUAAUUAAUAGGAAUUUAAAGAUAUGGAUGAAUCACUUACCGGCUUCCAAUGCUGAUGUAAAGACUCAAGAUGAUACUAUCUUCUUCCUCAGAAAAGCCACCAUGUUUGAUGUUUGGUCUUAAGUAAUUAAGCCAUCUCAGUCUGCAACUCUUACCACAUCUCUUCAACCCUAUGAUUCACACAAAAUCCUAAAAUCAGGACAACGAAUUGGGCCGGGUAGCAAACCAGAGAUUAAGAUCUAAGGGGUUGAUUUAGUGAAUCUUUCAUUGAUCCAAUUAAGUGAUAUAUAAAAAUGUUCAAAUUUUUCUUAAGAUUAUAAGUUUUAGAUUAUAACAUGGUUAAAAUAAGCUAGAUCCAGUUAAUGAUAAGUAUAAAUUCUACUGUAGUUAUUACCAAUUUUCUGAGGCAGUGCGAUCCAGUUGCCACCAGUGCCAUAUUUGUCGAUGUAGUCCUUGAGCUUCACAUCUUCUUCAGGCGACCAUGGCCCUUUUUUCACGUUUGCCUUGUCGCAGCAUGGAGCUCUUCCCAUUUUCUUACGAAUCUUUUUGUCUUUUCUUGUUCUUGUUGCUCUUCUUUUUCGACGUGUUAUUAUGUUUGAUGAUGAUGAAAUGAUAUAAUGCUGAGAAGGGAUGGUUUAUAAAGACGAGAAAAGGAAGGUGUUAAUUGAUGAUUAUUAUAACUGAAAAUGUAAUAAUAAAAGUUUAUAAAAAAGUCUUCCCCGCCUUCUAUUUAUUUUUUCAUAAUUCAAUUACUUCAACCCUAAUUGUAUUAUUUUCUGAGUAGGGUUUUGCUUUUUCUGCUUUUUGGAUUAGUUUUCUAACCUUUCUUUCUUUAUCUAUUUAAAAAAUGUGAAAAGUUGUCUCAGUUUUAAUAAUCAUUAGCGCAAAGAAAGACUUGCGUGAAAUUGUGUCCAAUUGUAUAGCACUUUAUAUAUUUUAAUUAACUGAUCAAAUUAGAGGGCAGGAAAAAACCAUCGCCUUGAUUUGUCGUGACUUGGGUUGAAAUGUUCCCCUCUAUAGCCAAUCAAAUGUCAUCGCUAAUUAGUUAUUUUUAACUUCUGACGUACCUCUUGAAUUUGGAUAAUUUGCUUAACUUUAUAGAUAAUGGUUUGAAUAAGUGAAUUCUGUUAGAAAAGGUAUACAAGCUCUUGACUUUCUUAUGACAGAAUUUUUUGAGUAAAAAGCCAAGAGAGUUUUCAGAACUUGCAUAAUCUAUUAAUGUGUGGCCUAAAUAAGAAACUCAAGCAUGUUAAAUUUUUAGUUUCUUAGAAGAGAAGUAUGAACAUUUGAGUACCAUUUUUCUUGACUAAAGAAUUUGAGAAAAAUAAUAAAUUCUUACCAGUAAGACUACUUACCAAACCCCCGCGACAUUAUAUAUUUGGGAUUCUGUUAUAGUUAAAUACAUCCUACGUGAACUAGCAGAAGUAAGACAGUAAAAUCAUAAUUAUCAAUCCAUAGAAAGGCAGAAUAAUACAAUGUGUUUCCAUUGUAUUUUUUUCUUUCAACCAUGCAACUCUCACCCACCACGUAGUUUUCGGUUUAGAUAAAACAUUUCUUGGUUACUGACUCUGUUAAAAACACUCAGUGCUCAAUUAUAGAAACUGCAGUUUGACGAAGCUUCUAAGAUAUUAACCGAUGAUGUAACAUGAUGAGUAUGAAAAUGCGUGUGCCGUAAGGAGAAACGUCGAUAUCGAGAAAGACCAAAUAUAUACGGUUAUAUGACUCCUUGCAAAAUAAGUUUGACUUCAUCUCAAAGUAAGCAUUUAUUUCCAUGUCUAGGCCGUUAAUUUCUUUCUCAGUUUGAUUCUAGAAACUCUUGUUCUUUGACUUAUAGUUUCUUUUACACAUAUGCACAAUAACACAUACGAGUAUACUAUACUAAUAUAUACUGUUUAUAUGGAUGCUAUAAUAUACAUGCAAUGUGUGUAUUUUCUACUUCAAAUAGAAUCUAAUAGGAAUACGUAAAUAUAUAAAUAUGAAAAUGUUCAGAAGUGUAAUCGUGUAAACAAUAAUCAUAUCAGAAGAAAGUUCAGUUUUAGCGAUUUAAUCAACAAAUCUGAUCAUUUUGAGGGUUGUCUUGUUUAGGUAACCACGUUUGAUUUUUUUCCUUAACAUUCCUUUUUAAUUUGUUAAAGAAAUUCUCUUUAGACAUUAAAAAACUAAAUGGAUUUCCAUUACCGCCGUGCAACUUUGACAUUUAUUGUUUUAAAAUUUUAUACCCUCAUGUAUGUAAACUUUCGUUAAAACCAUCUACAAAAAUACUCAAUGAAAACAAUUUUGAAAGUACUAUCAACUAAAUCAUGCAUUAAAUUUCUUAUAUAUAAGCCUUUUAGUUUUAGGUACCAUUUCGUUAUUUGCUAAUAGUAAUUUAACAGAUGUCAUUUAUCUAGAUUCCCUUUACAAAUUAAUUUAAAUUUCUUAUAACCAUGAUUAGAUACCGCUAAAAUGGUUUAUAUAUAUAUAUCAAAAUUACUUUGCAUGAAUCAGAUCAACGAUGAUUAGUUAAAAAUGCUAAUGGCUUUUCCAACCAUACAAGAGUUGCGUUUUAAAGUGAGUAAAGUUUAUUUUACUAGUAACUAAAAUAUUAAUAUGAUUCCUUCGCAGUAUAACAUUUAGUUUGGUUUUCUAAUAUAUAUAUAUAUGUGUGUGUGUGUUCUAUACGUAUAUGAUUUUUAUAUUUAGUAAUAUUUUCUAACGUUUAUUUAGGAUUUAUUAAUGUUUCCGAUGAAACUGUGGAAAUUAAACUGAUUGGUCUCAAAGACUUUUCUUAAUGAAAAGUGAGGAGCCUAAAUACAAUAAUUGAUCGGAACAACCAGACAACUUACACUAAUUGGCCUUGAUCGAUCACAAAGAUGUUGUUUGAAAUGUUUAAAUCUUAUUAUUAAAUAAUAUAUUCAUUCAAAAGAUUGUUAUUAGUUAGUUAAAUAAUCAAGUGAGAUAAGGAACCACAACCAUGCAACAAAAUAACAAGAGGAAGCCAUCAAAUUUUCAAAAGGAGCAACUGAUAUUAUUUAUAUGUAAUAUCCCUUACAAUAAAAUAAAAGAUUUUAUGUAGUAAAUAUAAUAAUAAAAGAUUGAAGAGUACCAGAAAAUUCAGAGUUUAAUAAAAGCAACGCAAAUGUUUCUUGUUGUCCUUUUUCAGAACCAUAGAAUCGAUGCAUUAGAUAAAUACCAAGCUUUAAGACAUAACAAUCGAGCUGGUUAGUGAUUAAAUAUAUGCAUAUAUACAUAUAAUGACUAGUGUACACAUAAAAUUAUAAUUUAUUCAUGUGUCACUGAUGUUAUCAGAGGCAGCAAAAUAUCAGUAAAUUUUGAUUGCAUUUGUUAUCUAUUUUUAUUUAAUAAAAAAAAUCGCAUAUCCACGGUCCUAGACAUUAAAUCAAAUAAUAAUAUACAAUAACUGUUAAAACGAAUAAAGUCACAAAUACUACAAAUUUAAAACACGGAUAUUCGAUAUGAUCAUAUAUAUAUAUAUAUAUAUUGUUAGGGUAUAAUGUCGGUUUUGGUGAAUAUAUUAAUUACAGUUCUUUAUAUAUAUAAAGUUGAUACUAUAUAUAUUGUGUAAUUACUUUUAAAAAGUUUCAUAGUUAUUUUUAAUGGAAGUUUAAAAUUAUUACAUAAUUAUUCUUUAAUAUUCUUGGCAAUAUAUAUUAUUCCUGUAAAUAAAAGUUUUAUAAUAUUUGUUUCACUACAAUUUUAAGAGAUUAUAGCUUUUAUAAUGAAAUAUUUUUUUCAUUAAAUUUACUUUUUAAGAUUUUUUUAAAAAUUUAUUUUAUUUAUAUUUACGAAUCAAAUAUCUCUAAAAUACAUAUUUUAUUAGAUAUCCGGAUACCAAAUAUUCAGAUGGUGCCAAAAUAAAUCAAAUAAAAAUGAAUCAUAAAAUUAUCUAUCCAGGCGAAAUGAAUCGGAUCCGAAUACUUAAAAAAAACUACGAUGUCCGAUCCAAUUCAUUUCUAACCUUGAUCCCUAUGCUUUAUAAAGUCAUUGCUAAAUGCUAAUAGCCUAAUAGCGGAAUCAACAUUGAUUCGAGUUUAUCAUGUUUGUAUAGGACAACCUAUAGUCUUACUAUUUCCUGAAUUCAUUACAUUUAGUGGGUUCUUUAUGUUUCUCGUAUUAAAAACAAAAUAAUCAUGUAGCAAAUUUUAUUUUAAGGAAGAAAAACAUUUUAAGUAUUGGAUCCAACUAAUCUCGAAUUCAAAUGUACUGUUCAUCUAUUUUAUUAAAGGAGAAGUAAUUUAAUCUUUUAUCUGGCAAUAUAGAUAGCAGUUAAAAAAAAUAGUGUUGUUUGGAAACAUAAAUAACAGUAAGUUAGGAAAAAAAAUAAUGGGCUUAUGCUAUUAAAAAAAUUAAAAGCAUUAUAUUAUAUUAAAAAAUAAUGGAUUUAUGUUACUUGAUAUACAUAUUCAAAUUAAAAUAAUAAUUUAAAAUUGAUUUAUAUCAAAAAUUCAUUCCAAAAUAUACAUAUAUUCAAAAUUUUAUUUUAACUAACAUAUUUUCCAAUAACUAUUAUAAAAAUGUUUUCAAUAUAUAUAAGAAAAAUACAAUACAAAACUCAAUUUCAAACACCAACUUAAAUUAUGGAUUUUAUAUUUCACAUUGAAAUUUAAAAAUAUAAUAUAUGUGAUUAUUUAUAUGAUUGUACGUAUAAAAUAUAAUUAAUUAUACGAAAACUUAUUUGAUGGUACGUAUAAAAUAUAAUUAAUUAUAUGAUAACACAUAUUUAUGUAACCUAUGAUGAUACAUAUAGGAUAUAUAAUAGUUAUUAGGGGUGGGCGUUCAAGUUCGUUUUCGGGUCUGUUUGGGAUUUCAUGUUCGGUUCUGUUUGGAAUUUCGCGUUCGGUUCAGAUCUUUGAGGAUUCGGUUCGGAUUUGGAUAACCAAUUUAAAUUGGUUUGGUUUAAAUAUUUGGAAAGAGAAUUAAUAAUUAUUUAUGUAUUUUUAGAGUUUUGAGUAUAUUUUAACUAUUUUAGAUAUUUACGUUUGAUUAUUUGUAUAUAUUUUUAAGUAUUUAAACGUACUUAAAAGUAUCAUAUAUAUAUUUUGGAUGUUUUUAUAUAUAUUAAAUCUAAAAAUAAUUAAUUUAUAUAAAUCUAUUUUGGAUACCAAAAAUACUUCGGUUCAGAUCAGAUUAGGUUUCAAUUCUUCAAAUAUCAAAAUUUUGAAUAAUUCGGAUAUUUAAUCAAUUUCGGUUCGGAUUUGGUACUACUUAUUCGGAUUGGGAUCGGUUCGAUUAUUCAAAUUCUAGUUUUUUGCCCAACCUUAAAUAGUGACAUAAAAACAAAUAGCAUAAUAUUUUUUUUAAAAAAUACAUCCGCGCGCGCGGAUCAAAAUCUAGUUUGUACUUAUAUGUAAAUCUUAAACAUUUUAAGCCUUAGGAUUAAGUCUAAUAUCAAGUUAUCAACAUAUUAGAAGAGUUUAGAAGACAUAGCAACAAAACAAACAACAAAUUUAAUAGGAUCAUAACUUUGAGUAAAUACGUUCCACUACAAUUAAUAAAUUAAAAGAUGAUGGAGUUUAUAAUAUGAUUAAAAAACAAAAAUUUAAUAACAUAUUUUCACUUGUAAAUUUCAUUUUUAUGAUGUGGCCUUUAUUUUUCUUGUAAAAAUCUCUGUUAUUCCCCUCCCCCAAACAAAUUCAAGAUAAGAAUUCAGUUUACCAGUUAUAUUAUAAAGAAUAUUGUCUUUUUACCAGCAAAAAACUAAUCCAAGAAAAGUGUCACUCAUCAUCACGUCACUUGGGUUGACUAACACAAUACCGUACGUAACUUCCUUUGCAAUGAGACGGUAAAUGAUUGUUUUCCUUUUAUAUGUAGGCAUCUUUAGACAUCAUAUUUCAUUUGUAAUAUUUAUUUGAUGAACUGUAUGCUAUUGGUUCAUAUAAUUUUAUUAAAGAAUAGUAUAUAAAUAUGGUACGUGUGGGUGUGUACGUGUGAGUUUGGCAUAUGAAAAAUGUCAUUAGCGCUUGUUAGGUGUUGUAUAAAGAUUAGGUCAUAAAGUGUUUUAAAAUACGCUAUACGCUGGUCAGACGGUGAACUACCGUAUAACGCCUAAUUUUAUAUACGGACGUUUACGCGGGGCAUAUACAGUGAAUAUUUUAUAAAGAAAAAUAGAAUAUUUAGUAAUUAUAGUGAUAAAAUUUAAAAUAUAUGUCAUAAAUUUAUAUAGUCUAAAUAUUUUCUAGUCCAAAAUAAAGAGUAAAAAUUCAAAUACAUACUAAGAUCAUUUUUUUGUAGAAACUGGAUGUAAAAAAGAAACUACAUUAUAAAAAAUGUUCACGACAAUAAAGAAACAACUUCCAGACUUUUAUCUUCCCGAUUGGUAAAAGGAUAGAUGAAAAAGAUUGACUUUAAACCAACUUUCCUAUAAAAUAUGGAUUCACCAAAGCAAAGUAAAGUAAUUGUCGUCAUUGGUCUUCGUAAUUCAAGUUAAAACUUCCAAAACACGUUAUACCGUUUAGAUUAACCGAACUGUGAAAUUCGGUACAGCAAGGCUGCGUAUAACGUAUAGUCAGCGCAUGUACGGCCGUAUAGCACGUAUUUUAGAACAUUAAACAAAAACAUACCGUAUAUGUGUAUAUGUUGCAGAAGAUAAGACAUUAGUUUCUUAAAUGGUGUCACGUGUUUUAGGGGAUUAUUGGCAAGUGAAUUCUCAUAAAUUUUAAAAAAUUUGAGAUUAUAUUGUUAUUGGUUUUUGGAUUUCAAAAAUCUUAAUAGAAUGUAUUGUUAUUGGUUUAAGAAUUUUCAAAAUUCAUUCAAAUUCUUUGUUAUUCAAAAAAUUUAGUUAUCAUUGAUUCUAUAAUUUUAACUAAAUCUAGUGUUAUUGGGAGAUGAAUUCUAUCCAUUUUUACUCAUAAGAUUUAACUUUCAAAAUAUCAUAUGUAUUCAUGUGAUUUUCAAAAUCCAUGUGAUAAAAAAACUAGAAAACAAAAUAGUUAUACUUACCAAAUAUAUAUUUCACUUUAAAUCAAAAUUAUAUGUCCAAAACUAUAAUUUAUUACAUUUUUAAAUACUUUUCAUUUUUGAAUAUAUAAUUAUUUUUAUAUUGUUUUAUCGUUUUUGAAUAUAAUAAUUAUAUUUAUAUCUAUUAAAAUUUUAAAAUAAUUUUUUAAUAGUUUCAAAAAGCAUUUUUGAAUUCUAAAUAGAAAAUUUGACAUUUUUUUUGAAAAAAAUCGAAUAAAUUAUUUAAAAAAUUAGAAAAAGUUUGAAUUUAAAAACAUAUAAUUCAAAACAUAAAUUUUUUCCAAUUUUGUAUGUAUCACUAUUAUUAUUUUUUAAUUUGAAAGAAAAAAAAAUUAAUAAUCAUGCUAUAUGAUUUAGAAAAAAAAUAAAUUAUAUAUUUACUUUAUAAAAAACGAUAGAAAAUAGGUAAUACAAAUUAAUGAAAAUCUAUACCAACCUAAAAAAAUUAUGAUCAAAUUUCAUAAGUCAAUGUAUAUAAAUUCUCACAAUCUACAUGACUUUUUAAAAUUUAUCAACUAUUAAAAUUCACAAACUCUAUAAAAAUUCAUCUUCCAGUAACUUCUCCUUAAUUAACCUCGCAUUUGCCUUAUAUUACUAGAUACUAAUACGGCUAUUUUUUAGAAUUCAACCAUUACUUAUAGUGUACUUAGAAAGCUUGUAGUCUUCAUAUACACACUUUACUUAAUUUGCUUCCGUAUUAAAUGGUAUACAUCAUUCAUACAUGAUACAUCACAUAUUGACUCUUAACAAAAAUUACAAAGAACAUUUGUUUUCUUGGACGGUUCGUCAUUUUGAAGGUCGAUAGAUAACAUAAUAUUUAUUAAGUCCAGGGUCCAUAUGAAUGUAUGAUUAACACAAGAUUUUGUAUAAUUUUCCUAUAUUAAAACUGGUAAUUGGUUAAAAGAAUCUGUUCUGUGAACAAGGAAGAUACGACAUCGGAGUUGAUAAUGUCAUGCUUUAAUUCUUCUCCUACUUCACUUGCAGAGUAUUUAAUUGACAAGAAAUUAAAAAGAUCUUUGGUACAUGCAAGGGGCUGACUUUUCUAUCGGUACAAUUGUUUAUUAGAAUAAUUUACGGUAUUUAUUGAUUAAGAAUCAAACAAAUCAUUAAGUCAAACCUAAUAAGUUACUAACUAUUUGAGACAGAGAUAUUGAAAGGAUUGCAGUCCUGUCAAACUUUGUUGCUAUCCCUCAAGUGUGUCUUUGGACCCUUUAAUCCAUUACCUAACCUCAUCUCUAUACAACACUAAUUUCUUUGUUUAGUUUGUGGGUUGGGUUGGGUUUGUUCGAAUCUUGGGAACUUUUGUGGUAGACGACCACGUUUUAGGGAGCUUCUCAGACCAUGUUAUUUUUAAUUGUCAAACAAGCAUUACUAUUUUUUUAAGUAACGUUUAUGACUUAUGUAACUUCUUAACUAGUAACCAAAAUUCAUUGUGGUUCAAUGGUUAAGUGAUUCAUCUUACGGGACUAAAGUCCGAGUCUUCUGAAUGCAAUAAAUAUGAGUGAUCUUAGUGGACUCAAACCUCCUGGUCACUGGUCCAAAAUACCGACCCAGCGAGAGUUCCAUUACAUCUUAUGCAUGACUAACACUGUGAUUCUUUUUCCUUUUGUAGUCAACUUGGAUACUUCAGUUAUACAACACUCAAGAUUACAAGGACUGCGAUGUUUUAGGAGUUAUGUCUAGCCAUUUUAGCUAAGCCAUCAUCAACACUUGCUUUCCUAUAAAUAUUCCGAAAACUAAACUUACGUGGGAUUGUAAGUAGGGAAGAGGAGAUUCCAUGAAUAGACUUCAUGCCUGUGGACGUCUACCAAUCUUUGACAAAUAACGUUUCAAUCACACCCAUAAUGCAAAAAUCAAAGAGAAGAGAUCAACUGCUUAUAUGCUUUGUAAUCUUCUUAUCUCACCGAGAAUGCAAUAUGAAGAUCCACCAUAGGCAAAUCUUUGAAGGACUAAUGGUUCAUGUAUCCAUCUCUCGAUUUUUUAAGAACAAAAUAUUAUUAUUAACCUUCUUAACCAAAACAAAGAAGGAAAGACUAAUCUAAACGUGUAACUUGUCUGCAACCACAAGUUUUAUAUACACCCCAAUAGAAAGAAGAAAACAAUAUGAACCAGAGACAGAGAGCUCAAUGAUCCUCAAGUGCAGCAACUAACACAUUGCUUGAUCCAUAACAAAAUCCUCUAAAUUCAAGAUUUUAACUUAUAUAUACCAAUAAAAACGCUAGUAUUCGCGUUCCAACCGCAAAACCAAGUGGUAACUUAAAAUAGGCUUAACUAUACUUUUUAUAAAAACCCAAAGUAAAUAGAAGCCCUGCACCAUCGCCAUCUUCUUUUUCUUCAUCAUCAUCAACAAUCACCUUUAUUCUUCUCUCAUUAUUUGUUUAUUUCAAAUUCAUAGCAGCAGCCAUAUUCCUGAGCUUCUGCGAUAUAUCAGCAAAGGAUGGUCUCUCUGUUGGCUCAGAUGCCCAACAACUUUCCAUCAAUCCUUUCCACUCUGGAUCACACCACUGUGGGAUCUUCGGACGCAAUGUAUUAUUCACUAUUCCUCCUGUAAUAAAUUAAACACCAAUCUCAUGAAUCAAUCGUUAGUAGUAUGCAUGUAUGUUUUAGUUGAGAAAGAAAGUUUUAGUUGAUUACCUAUUAUAGAAGCACAGUGCAGAUCUGCGUAAGGCUCUUCACCAGUGAGCAAUUCCCACAUUACAAUCCCAAACGAGUAAACAUCGAUCUGACACAGAGAUAACUGGUUUGGUUAGUCGCUGUAUAAGGAAAAAAUCUGCAGACUUUAUAAGAGAUUAGUUAUACCUUUUCAGAGACCAUGUUACUUUUGCCACUCAAGAGCUCCGGUGCCAUCCAUGGCAAUGUUCCGCGAACACCUCCAGACACUAAAGUCUUCUGUUUCACCUUAGAUAAACCCAAAUCACCGAUCUGGAGAGAGAAACGGAUAGGUCAGAAAUAUAUAAGCUUGGUUCUCAUUAUAUGGGAGAUGAGAUGAUCAAAAACCUAACCUUGCACACAGGACGCUGAGGAUCUCUCAUGUUCACUAGAAGAUUCUCGCACUUCAAAUCGAAAUGAACUAUGUUCUUUCCGUGCAAAUACUCCAUCCCAAAAGCAGUAUCCAUGGCUAUGAUGAGUCUUUUGCGACGAUCAAUAGUUCUGGAUGAGUCAACCAAUAAGGUAUCAGAUAUUUGGAUACUCUGUAAAAUUAGUAUAAUAUUCAAUGACUCUGUAAAUCUUUUUACCUGUCUUUCUUCUGCAAGAACUGUUUCAAAGAUCCGUUAACCAUGAACUCAGCAACAGUUGCUAGAGAACCAUCAGGACCAUCACGAACUAUCCCAUAGAAAGAUACAACGUUCGGGUGAUGCAAUGAGCUCAGUAACAGAGCUUCUUUCCAAAAAUCUUCUAUCUGCAACAGAAAGAGAAUAAUACUGGAGUUAACUUUGAUGAAUGUGUUCAAAGCCAACUGAUAAUAAAGGAAAUCAAUAUUACCAAACGUUCCCUUUCAGAAGGUUUUCCUGCAAAACAACUUGCUUUUAUUCUCUUUAUUGCAACAUCUGAGCCUUUCCAUUUGCCAUGGUAAACAGAUCCAUAUGUUCCAGAACCUAACUCUCGAAUCUCCUCCAGAUCAUCGUUUCUUAUAGUCUAGACGAACAAGGUGAUAUAACACAGUCAAAAGGACUAAAAAAAUGGGAAAAUGUGUUUAGUUUUUUUUUUUAACAAAGUAAUGUUAUACAAAACCUGAAGUCCCCUAGAUAGAGCUUCAGCCUCCGCCUUUGUUGGCUCAAUCUUAAAAUUGUUUGGAUUGUCGCUAUCAGAGUCCUCAUGUUCGACUUGAGCAUUCUGAAAAAAAAUAUGUUGUUGCAGGAUCAGACGAAAGGAUUAUAUCAUAAGGUCCUCAUAACAAGUUCAAAUCUCAUGAUACUCACCACAUGCUCUGAUUCGUUUUCCACCAAUUCUGGCCUCACAGGGUCAUUCGCUUCUUCUGGAUGAGCUUUCACCUCAGCAGCUCCUUCAAGUGCCGCCCUCUUCACAGAUUCCAUUAACUCGGGCAAGAAACUCAAACGCUCGACUGAUAGCUCCGCCCCUUCAGGAGGAGCAGCAGCAGAAGGACUAACUUCUGCCAUAUCAUUCUUUCCUUCAGCUAAGGGUUGAUGUUUAUCUAGGCAAGGAACACCGUCUGAAACACCAGUAUCAACACAGUUAAUGUGUUCACCUCCCUGAGCAACCUUGCUUUCCACGGGCCUCACCACUUCAACACAAUCUGGUGUCUGCAUAAUUGGUGCACCAUCGAGGUUUGUCUGUAGCAUGGGCCCUGACAAAGGCUUAAACCCCUGCAGAUAUUCGCUACGCACAGCCUGGUUCUCAGAAGGCACCCAAUUUGGGUCUAAAGGGAAAGCUCUAUCUUGAAAAUGAGGAUUUGGGUAGUAAGGCUGGCCAGCAGAAGACAUUGCAUCAAAUCCUGAAAUGUUUUGUGGAGAACCGACUAAAACACUUUGAUUCUCCACUCCAAUAGAAUAUCUAGAAGCACUGUCCAUCGGAUUCCUGAUAACAGUUUGAUUGGCUGUGCCAUUGACUUGCUGCAUAGGCAAGCCUGGAGCACCACUUAUAUGGUUUGGAACGUUCUGCCAAAUAUUUUGCUGCGGGUAGAUGUGGCUAUGACUUGCUGAGUGAACACUUUCAGGUCCUGGAGCAUACAGAUUAUUCCCAUAGUGAAACCCACGUUCCUCAGCAGAAGGGUUGGACGGGUUCAAGGGAAUGCCACCAAGAGGUUUAUCGUGAAACCCUUCAUUGGAAAUUUCGGGUCCAGGUCGGUGGCCAAAAGGAUAAUUCAUCCCAGGACCAUCAAGAGUGUAAUGAUCACUUGGUCUUCCAACAUUAGAUAAAAGUGGCCUCCCUUCAUCAAUACGUGGAGGAUUAGGAUUAGGAUUCACCUGUUGUUGACCUAUCCAUCCUCUUUCAUGCCCGAAAGUCUCAUUUGCAUAAGCCCCAUGAGGAGUAGGAGGCUUUGGGUCUGCGUUAAGCAUAAAAGCUUCCCUGUUGGGCGGACACUGUGCACAAUGAGCAGAAGGAACCGGUUGAAAUCCAUUAGGCUGCUCAAACGGCUGAUGGUUCUUAUGAAACGGUACACGACAGCUCUCGCAUAUAUUACCCCCUUCAUAGCCACUUGGACCACCGUGAAGAACAUUCCCAGGAAAACCUCCUUUACUCUCAAGCGGCGUAGCUCCAGCCGGGACCCACACCACGUUAUCAGGAACCUGUCCCUGGUGCUCAUAUAAAGGAUGAUGACCUGGCCUCGCGUAAUCCUCAGGCAUUCUAUCAAACCCCUUAUCAAGAACUUCCCCAUACGGCAUCCGGUAACGAGCAGAGGAAGGCGAAGACGGAAACUCCUGAAAAUGACCAUGAUGCCGAGGAGAAUAGUAAGGACUCCAUGUGCCUUCUACAUCACCAUACCUCGUUGCAAUCAUCUGCCCGGAACCCACACGAGGGAUCCUGAGCUGGUGAAGAUUAUUAUACUGAGCAACAGGUAUCUCGUUACCCCUCUGACUUCCACCACCUCCACUCUCAAUAGCCAGCUGAUUAAAAGGUUCCACCAUCGAAAAAUCGUCAUUAUUCAGAUUGAACCGAGGCGAGUCAGGAUACUGCUGCACCUUCCUAAAAUCCGUCCCUUCAACCAGAUUAUUAAGAGCAUCAACGUAUCUCCUCUCAGACUCCCUCUGAUCAUCAUACCCCGAGGAACCAUCCAUCUCAGGAGACGAAAACAGAAAGAUCCUCAGCCUAGUGAACCCAUCCCCGGAGCCUAACUUAUCAUACUCCUCCAUCAUAUUCACCACGUCAUCGUCAUUCACAACGGAAACCAAAGCAUCGAGAUCCUCAUCAGGCUGCUGGUACUUCAAAACCGCCGCGUCCUCGUAAAGCUCCCUCAUCUUGCUCAUCAGCUCCUCGUACCUAACGUCCCUCGCCACGCUCACGAUCCUCGUCUCCCCGCCCACGUACCUCAGCUUCCCGUCCUGAGGACGAGGCAGUAUACUGCCUAGGAAGCUGCAGAGGAACUUGACUCGGUGCGGCUCGUCGUUCAAGCUGGAGCCUGGACUAGUGACGGAAGAUGAGUUCACGGAACCGGAAUCCAUGGCGAAUCUGAUUACUCGAUUACUGCUGCACAUGGAAAAAAAAACUCGAAUCCGCAAGCUUAUUAGAUUUCGUUGGAGCGAUUCUCCAUCGAAUCUUCACCAGUUUUCUCUGGAGAAAGACAUGCAAUAACACGAAUCAAUCUAACGAUAAUCAUCAUCUGCUACAGAGAGAGAGGAAUCAAUUUACCUUCAAUCUCGGAGAAGAAAUACGAAUCUCGAUUUUGAAUAUGAUGAAGAAUCACGCUUCGAGCCUCUGAUCUAUCUUGGUUUUUGAUUUGAUGAGGAGAGGAGGAAAAAAUAUAUAUAAAAUCUUUUUAUUUUCGAGGAACUUUUUUUUUUUUUUUUUUUUUUUUUUUUAAUUAUUUAAAUUUAUUCGAAAUUUUUUUUUUUUUGUGUUUCUGGGCUAAGAACUAGAAGAUGCGAUGCUUCUGUAACGCCAGGUAGUGAUCCACGUGGCGGUUUUUGGCUAUUUUUAUUUAAUAAAAAAAAUUGAAAUGUGAAUAUAUUUAAAUUUUCUCCCACGGUAUGGUGGCAUAUAUCAUGAUCAUGAUCAUGAUCAUGAUCAAGUGGGGCAUAUGCUUCUUCCUAGUCCGCAGAUUCCUUGUGCUCACCGCCCCUGCGCGUGUUCUUCACCCGCGCAUUUAUUUAUUUUUAAAUAUGAAGUGGGAUCAAACCAUUUUAGCCGUGGCUUUGGAUCUUCUCUCCUUCGCCUCAUCACGUGGGCUCCUUUAUCGUCUCCUCUUAGCCAUUCCAUACUUUCAGGCAGGCCCGGCUCAUUAAACUUAGGACUCAAACCAACUUUUUCUCACAAAUUCUGUAGUUGUAUUAUUGUAAUUUAAAAAUUAGAGCACUAAAACUAAUCAGAACCCUAAUUUUUUAACAAAGUUUACAUUUUUUAAAAAUUUAAAAAUUAGAGUACAAAAAAAAAUUAAAGUUUACACUAAAAUGUAUGUAUCUUCUAAAUUUUAAAAAUGGCUUAUGGCAUGAGCUGAGAGUGCUUUAAACUUUAAACUUUAAACUUUAAUUUUUCUUUACCAUUUAAAGUCCAAAAUCCAGAUAGAGCACUUUAAAAUAUGAGAAACAAAAUAAUUGUUCCUAUUCAUGUUUUUGAUUAAUGAUUUUUUUUAUCACGAUGUUUUGAUUAAUGAUUAUGUUUAUUGCUUUGACGAUCUAAGUGACAUACUGGCUGACAUAAUGGGACGUAGUUAUUUGAUAUGACCAUUAGUAGUGUUGCAUGCAAGUAUGCAACAAAAAAUAAAGUCUCAUCCAGCAUUUAGAAUUCUUCUUUAUUAACUUGUCACAUGCAUUUUUCUAUUAUUGAUGUUACGUUUAUCAAAGAUGGUUGCGUUUUUGGCAGUGAGAUUACUAGAUGAGGGAUCUUGGCAGUGCAAAUAUAAUAUACGUCUUGCUAGGUGGAAUCAUCCGGGGAUUGGUUUAUCAUGCAGUGACUCAUGACACGGAAAGCGUUGUGGUAGACAUUUAAAACGUAAACGUUUCAACAUAUCAAUUUGUUAAUUAUAAACGUAAUCAUAUAUUCUCUAUUGGAUAUCCGCAUUUGGAUUCUACAAAAGGAGAAUUGUUAGAAAUUGAAAAAAAUCAUUAUACGUUUUAAGAUGCCAAUAAUUAUUUUAAAUAUUCCUACCAGGUGAUAAACACAAUAAGCUCAGAUGUAAACAAGACUAUGGCUCCAACCCAUUAAUCUAAUUAGUUUGUGCUCAUCACACGCCAACGUCAGUUUCUAGCUCCACUCACUUCUGAUUCUAAAGCCCUACUAUCUCUGUUCAGUUUAGUUUCCCACCGAUAGUGUUGCCCGUAGCCACCGUCUCAGGCACUUGCGCCACCACUACAUUAGGUUACACCCUAUACCUACUUGACUUCUACUUGGUGUAAGAUAUCACUUCGGCAUAACCUGUUUCAUGAAAGUUGAUAAAUGGGUCAUUUUAUCAUUUUCCAUCCGGUAACCACAUGAUCGUGGCAAUUAGCAACUUCGGUAAUGAGGGGCCGUGAUCUUCAACUCGCCCGUACAAACAUUUGGGACUUGGUUAUCUAAUCUUAUACUACAAAAAUAUCUAUUAUUUUGAAUUUUUAAUAUGGAUCUUCAUCUUCCAAACUCCGUUCAUCAAAGAUGACUAAGUUUAAGAAGCGGGGCCAGGUCCGUCGGGACUAUGACAAUGCAAAUAUUUCGAUGUUUGUCUCGCCGGAAACAACUAUCUACCACAAAUCCAAGAUAAAGCUACGAAGUGUAAUCUCAUGACAAUAGUCUAUGUAAUAUAAUAUAUAGUUUUAAGCAAAGAUAGUUUCUUAUAUGUAUAAGUGUGUGUAAUGACAUGAGAAAAUACAACUAAAAACCAAAGUUGCCGUAAAACAACUUUCUUCUCAAUCCAGAAUCGUCUUUUUAAACGUAAAAAUGAAUAAAAAACAUAUUAUUAUUAUUAUUAUUUUAUUUAUUUUUCUGAUAGUGUGACCAAAGACAUGAGAAAACACAAAUAUGCUUUUUUUAAAUAAAAAACAUAUUUUCUCUAGUUGUGUUUGCAUUUUUACAAUAAUAAUCAUUAAAAUUUGAAAAAUUGUAGUAAAAUUUUCUAAUAUGCAUAAUUGUUUUAAAUUUUCUUGAUUAAGUGAUAAACAGAAAUAAACAAAACUAUAGAUCCAACCUUUUGAUAACUCAUGAACCAAAGUAGAAAAAAAAUCAAAAAAAAAAUUGAAACCUAAUUAUAAAAUACAGAUACACUGUGCUUCAUUCUAAACCAAAAAAUCAAAAUUUGAAAAUAAAAUAAACUAAUCAAAAUUUAUUAAAAGCUCAUAACUUUAAUUGGAUAUAUACAUAUAAAACUGAAAUAUAUUAGAAAAUGACAAUAAUAGAUUAAUUAUUGUUUUUGUAUAUGAUAUUUUGUCAAAAUCAAACUAAAAUAUAACUGGAUUUCAGAUACAAUUCUUUAGAACCCAAAAUCCUCCUAUCUAAAAAAAAGGGAGAAAAAAAAUCCAGAAUCCCCAAAUAGAACCAGAGUAUGAUAUAAUUAAUUCGACUAUAAUGGAUCUGUUUUCAAAAUCCAGAAAUUCUAUAAAAAAAAGUCAAACCGAACCAAACCAAAUCCAACCUAACCUAACCGACUGUUCAACGAUGGCUUGGAUCCCGCUAGACAUCCCUUAUAUAUUAAAUUGCAAGUCACUCAACCAAUCAUAUUCUGACACAUAAUAAAUAUAAAAAAUUAAGAAAAAAGAACUCAAAAAAAUAAUAUUUAGAAGAAAGAAAAAAAGUGAUAUGUAAACUACCCACGAUCAUACUUUAACCACGAUCUUUAAUUUUUCAUUCUCUUAUAUCUCCCAAAAUUUUAUCACAUUCGAUAAAGAAAAUUAGAGAAACCUUUUUGAUCGAUCAAAAACAGAAUAUAAAGGAUGUAUUCUUCUUCUUUGCUUUCAAAAUCUUAAUUCAUAUUUGGGGUCAUCUUGAAUGUCCUGAGUCACAGAGCGAGUGCUGAUAGAGGAUGUAUUCCUAAUGGGGCUAUCUCCCUCCUUUGUACAUUUUUGUUGAUUACGGCAGGGCAGGACAUGCUUCUUGGGAACCGGUUUAGGGAUAGGAAAGCUCGAGAAAGAGUGGACAUGGUGGAUUUGAAUGGCUGGAGAUUCAACUCGAACAAAUAGACUUUUUAACGUGAAGAAAGAGAAGGAAAUAUAAGGAGGAUAGAAGUCAACCACAAAUGAAGAUGCAAACGUUGUAGAAUCAGAAGAAGGGAUUUUGAUAGAAAGGCUUUUGUUAAAAGGUAAAUGUUUCUGGUGUGUAUACUUAAAUAUAUUACAUAUAUAACUUCAAAAGAACGGUUGAAAAAAUCUAAAACAUGGAAAAACCAUUACGCUUCUGUGAUAUCAAAAGCGUCUGAUCCACUUUCAAUGGUUUAGUUAUGUUUGACAUGAGCUUAUAAUUUGUGUCUAUAGUAACAAAAAUUAAGUAGCAACAAUCACCUAUUCUCAAACUAAAAUAAUGUUAAAUGCUUUCAUUGGGUUUGUAACAUUAUUUUAGUUUGUACAUGGAUACAAUUAGAGAAAAUAUUGAAAGAACAAAACGAAGUAAAGUAGAAAAGCUUCAUACUAAUAUUUACAUUCAACAAACUAUUUAAGGUCAAUGUAAAAAUUUAUAAACAAAAAGCAAGCUUAGUUUAUAUGUUUGUGGUUACUUAAGUAUAAGUGUGUUCAUAUUAUUUUUAGUGUAUACGCAUUUACUUUAUCUGAUAAAAUAUGUUAUACAUGUCAAUUUUUAAAAACUGAAAUGCGUUUAUUUGCAAGCAAAAUUACUCCCAUGCUCAAUGGGUCAAUACUAGUAGUUGAAUAACCCAGCGACAAUUUUUUCUCAGUCACUUCUCUUUCCUCUCACAAUGUUACUGGUAACAGCCACUCUCCUCCGCCACCGCCACCGCCACCGUCUCCGUCACUUGCGCCACCACAUCAGGCUCAAGUCCACCUCUCCAUCUACUCCACAACAUUACCACCUCCCUCUCAACCACCCUACCUACUUAAUCUGGUCAGCCAACACUUCCCUCGGCAAAACCCUCGUCUCCACCGGCAUCUCCGCCUCCUUCCUCCUCCAACCUCCAUCCCCCGCCUCGCACUCCACAAAACUCCUCUACCUAAAACCAUUACAAACCGGCUUCCCUUCCGAUUCCGACUCUCGCUUCGUCUUCUCCAAGCUCGACUCCCUCUCCCUCCGUCUCCGCGUUCCUCUCUCCGUCUCCAACUCCGUCCUCCGCUCUUCACUCCCCCGCAGCGGAAUCAGAGAGAAUGGAAUGCGCGAUUUGAACUUCUUGGAGGAGAAGGUAGUCACCGGCGCAGCGGCGGAGCUAUCCUGCAAGACGCUGUAUGCCUGGGAGGCGGCUAUCUCCCCGCAUUUAGCAGCGGAGAGGGAAAACGCGCCGGUGGAAGACUCUGACGUGUUGAAGAUGGUGGAGCAGUGUUUGAGGGAGGAGAUGGAGUGUGGAAAUAAAACUAAUCUUCUUUGUUUGGUGGAGACUGCCGGUGGAGUCGCGAGUCCAGGCCCAUCGGGUUCUCUUCAGUGCGACCUCUACAGGUAACAGUUUUUCUCUAUGUUCAAGAAAUCGCUAGGCUUAUAUGUGAUUAUGAGUAAACAGUUUAUAGAAGAUUAAUCCUGAGCUGGCGUCUAGGCACAGUCUAGACUACCGAAAAAUCGUUUCGUUUAGGUCUAAUUUGCCGAUUAGGCAGACGCGCGUAUACCGAUUUUUAGAAUACUGGUUAUUCCCAAAUUCAAGAAAUUGUUAGACAGUAAUUAAACAAUUUAUACAAGAUUAAUCCCCGAGCUGCUGCCUAGGCGCCGUCUAAACCAAUUUUUAGAAAAAAAUCAUUUUCGGUUAUAACCGAUUUAGCAGCCCGCCUCUUAUUACAACAUUGGUUUCUCCUUUGAGAUUAUAGGCAACACAUAGGAGGUAAAUUUGGUUAAAUAUCUUACUCAUGUUAGUUUUGUCUUCCUGAGAUUAGACCUCUUAGAUUGCCUGGAGUUCUCGUCGGAGACGGCAGGCUCGGUGGUAUCUCCGGGACCAUUGCAGCUUACGAAAGUCUAAAACUUCGAGGAUACGACGUUGCUGCUGUUGUCUUUGAGGAUCACGGCCUUGUUAAUGAAGUUCCAUUAACGUCAUAUCUAAGGAACAAGUAAAUUUUUUUUCAGUGCCUUUUAUCAGUGUUAUGUUCUUUUUUUGAACCAUGUCUCAUAGUUACACUUGUUUGAAAAACUAGAGUCCCUGUGCUUGUGCUUCCGCCUGUUCCCAAGGACCCUUCAGAUGAUCUAAUAGAAUGGUUUGUGGAAUCGGAUGGCGUGUUUAAGGCUUUGAAAGAGGUAAUGGUGUCAGCUUAUCUGGAGAGAGUGAAGAGAUUAAACGGCAUGGCGAAGCAGGCGGGAGAGGUUUUCUGGUGGCCGUUUACUCAGCAUAAACUUGUGCCUGAAGAAACUGUGACGGUGAUUGACUCUCGCUGUGGUGAAAACUUUUCAGUAUACAAGGUUUGUAUGCAAACAUCCCUUUUUUUGACAUGUCCAACUUUUUUUUAGCUCAUCUAGAACUUUGCCACUUUCGUCAUUUUCAGGCUUCUGGUAACAAUUCUAUUACCCAGCAGUUUGAUGCUUGUGCUAGCUGGUGGACACAGGGGCCAGAUCCUGCUUUCCAGGUCAUCUGUGCCUAUUGUUUUGUAUCUUAAUGCUUAUUAUCUCUUUCCUUGUGGUGAAUCUUCUGAAGUUUAUUUUGAAAUUUUGUUUAGGCGGUUUCAGGCUGAGCUGGCUAGAGAAAUGGGUUACACUGCUGCUAGGUUCGGGCAUGUCAUGUUCCCUGAGAAUGUAUAUGAACCUGCCUUGAAAUGUGCUGAGAUUUUGUUAGAUGGAGUGGGAAAAGGUUUGUUCUGUCACAUUCUUCAAGCAUUGAUGGGAGGGCUAAUUAGUUUUAUGCAUGCAGGCUGGGCUUCUCGAGUGUACUUCUCGGAUAAUGGAUCCACAGCAAUCGAAAUUGCCUUGAAGAUGGCGUUUCGUAAGUUUUGUGUUGAUCAUGAGGCCAUAUUGAAUUUUUCUGAGGGCAGUGAAGAGAAAAAGCAUAUUGUGGUUAAGGUACAAUCAUCUUGCUGAUGCUCCAUGAUACUUCGACGCUUUAAUGUUGUAUCUGUUAGUGUAAGUUAGACUUAAACAGUGUGUACUUACUGAGAUGUGUGUUGUAUUUUUAGGUCCUAGCUCUUAGAGGGUCUUACCAUGGGGAUACUUUAGGAGCAAUGGAAGCACAAGCACCAUCACCUUACACAGGCUUCCUCCAGCAGCCGUGGUAUGGAGGAGUUUUUUCCUUUAUCGCUUUUCAUGAUUCCGACUUGAAAAUUCUCUAUUGAAUUUUAUUGCUUAAAUAGAAAUAUCAUUCCUUAAGGAUGAAUAAUAUCAUGAUUACAUCACCUGUGAAUAUUCACAUUGUCUUGCUUCCCUCUGAUUAGGUUUGCAUCUAUCUUUGUAUUUGUAGGUAUACUGGAAGAGGUCUGUUUCUGGAUCCUCCUACUGUUUUUCUCUCCAAUGGAGCUUGGAACCUCUCCCUCCCUGAAAGUUUUUCUGAAAUAGCCCCAGAAGAAUAUGGAAGUAAGUUAUCAUCCUUUCCUCUCUCUGCUAUCCUCUAUAACAUAUAUGUUUUAGCUGUAUGAUUUAAUAUUCCCAAACCCUUACAGCCUUCAGCACUCGUGAUGAGAUUUUCGACAAGAGUAGAGACACAUCAAUUCUUGCAACAAUCUAUUCGGCCUAUGUAUCAAAACAGCUACAAGAGUAUUCUGGAGUUGCACAAUCCGCCCAUGUUGGAGCACUGAUAAUAGAACCAGGUAUGAUAUUAUAUCCAGCAAAGUUUAGAAUCUUCAAACUACUCUUUUAUUUAGGUGGCUGAUUGUAUCUGCAGUAAUCCAUGGUGCUGGGGGAAUGCACAUGGGUGAUCCGCUCUUCCAACGAGUUCUGGUCAAUGAGUGCCGGAAUAGAAAAAUUCCAGUCAUUUUCGAUGAAGUGUUCACAGGUUUCUGGCGUCUUGGAGUAGAGGUAGUGAGCUGUUACUUUGAUUUUAUGUCAUCCUGUGUUAAAUAUUUACACUCUGCUAACAAAGUUACAAUGAUAUUACCAAAGACUACUGCUGAACUUCUCGGUUGCAAACCGGACAUAGCUUGCUUCGCCAAACUGAUGACUGGUGGAAUGAUUCCUUUAGCUGUCACUCUUGCCACAGAUGCUGUGUUUGAUUCAUUUUCUGGAGAUUCAAAGGUAAGAAAAGUAGAAGAACCAUCUUCAUGCUUUUUUUUUCUUCUUCCGCUUGAAGCCAUCUAAUGCUCUUUAUUGGUUGUAGCUUAAAGCCCUGCUUCAUGGUCACUCAUACUCAGCUCAUGCUAUGGGAUGCGCAACAGCCGCCAAAGCCAUCGAAUGGUUUAAAGAUAUAGAGACUAACCAUAACAUCAUCCCUCAAGGAGGAAUCUUAAGAGAGGUACUAAGACAAAAUAUAAACAUCUUUGUGGCAGAUGAUCAGUAAGCAAACAUCUUUAAAUGGGUUUCAACCAUACACGUGUUUUUGUGCAGCUGUGGGAUGAAGAACUGGUGCAAAAAAUAUCAUGUCACUCUGUGGUUCAAAGGGUGGUUGUAUUAGGAACCCUUUUCGCUCUAGAACUUAAAGUAGAUGCUUCCAACUCCGGGUAAAGAUCGUAUGAAUCUCUUUAGAAAAGCAUUGUCUUGAAGAACACAAACUGUUGGUAUCUCAUAGUGAUUUGUUUCAGGUAUGCUUCGUUGUACGCAAAGUCUCUUCUAGAGAUGCUCAGGGAAGAUGGAAUCUUCAUGCGGCCUCUAGGAAACGUUGUAUACCUCAUGUGUGGCCCUUGCACGUCUCCUGAAAUUUGCCGGGAGUUGCUGUCUAAGCUCUACAAAAGGCUUGGAGAAUUCAAUAGAGCAUAGUACUCCACAUUGUUUUGUCGUAUCAAAUGCAUUUUUUUUUUUUGAACUAUGAUUGAGUUGAGGUAUAUCCACCUGAAAAUGAAUAUUCUGAAUUUUGUUUAAUUAUUAUGCAAAACAUGGGAGAGAGUCGAAGAAUAAAUCACGUCGUCACCUUACAUAAUAUAUGUGGCUGACAUGUCCGUCCUAAAUUUAAAAAAAAAAAAGACAAAAAACCGCCGGUGUAUUUUACCAAAAAUGUGAAAAACAAAACAUAUAUUUCCAGUUGUUGCUUAAUUAAUUGUACACAUUAACUAAACAUGGUACUGAUCUGUUAAAAAGCAUUAUUUAUUCCAAAUUUAUUAUAUGAACCAAACUUACAAAUUCGAGCCAAAAUGCAUGAACCAAAAAGAAAGAAAAGAAGAUUAAAUAUGGCAAAAAUAUAAACUUCAAAAACAAAACAAAAAACUUUGAAGGGAAAAAUAUCACCUGCAUGUAUAAUUUAUACGUAAGGUGGACGACUAAUGUAUGUUUAUAGGCCGACAUAACUCAAUUCAUAUAAUGACAAUUAAAAAUCGUUAGUGUAAGACUAGCUACCACGUCCAUAAUGGGACUCCAUGAACCUAUAAUAUUGCACUCAUUUUCAAAUUUUCUUUCACUAUAUAAACACAAAGCUCCGAUCAUUUUCAAACCAUCAGAAAACAUUUUCUUUUCAACAACGACCAAAGAGAAAAGAAACAUGGCGGCUUUUGCGACCAAACAGUCUAUGUUGUUGUUGUCGUCGUCUCUCCUGCUCUUGAUCGGCGUAUCCACCGGAAGUUUCUAUGACAACUUCGAUAUCACAUGGGGCGAUGGUCGUGCCAACAUAUUUGAGUCUGGACACCUAUUAACUUGCACUCUCGACAAGAUCUCCGGUUCAGGUUUUCAAUCCAAGAAAGAGUAUCUAUUCGGAAAGAUCGAUAUGAAGAUGAAACUUGUUGCCGGAAACUCAGCUGGAACCGUCACUGCUUACUACGUACGUAAACAUUUAUCUCUUUUCAUGCUUAUAUUUUGUGACGUUGAUUGUAUGAUUUUUGAAUCUGAUUUAAAGAAUGUUUUCGCAGCUUUCCUCUAAAGGCGAGACAUGGGAUGAGAUCGACUUCGAGUUCUUGGGUAAUGUUACUGGACAGCCCUAUGUUCUCCAUACAAAUGUGUUCACAGGAGGUAAAGGUAACCGUGAAAUGCAGUUCUAUCUCUGGUUCGAUCCAACGGCGGAUUUCCACACUUACACCGUCCUUUGGAACCCUCUCAACAUCAUGUAAGUAUAAUUUGGUUCAACCACCUGAUCCAUGAAGCACCGGGCUUAUAAAAUAUGAUGACUAUUCUCCAUAUUAAAACCAACAUUUUACUUCACAUUAAAGCAAAUUUGUUUCCAAUCCAUUUAACUUAUAAAAAAUCUUUUUGUUUUUUGUAACACUAAUAAAAAAUCUAUUCAGACUUACUUUUUACUCAAUCCAUUGGAUUUAUUAAAAAUAUUCUAACAAAUGGUUUUUGUAAUGGUUUUUGAUUUGGUGUUUUGUUUUUCUUGGAAUCUCAAAAGCUUUCUAGUGGACGGUAUCCCAAUCAGGGUGUUCAAGAACAAUGAGGCUCACGGUGUGGCUUACCCGAAGAGCCAGCCGAUGAAGAUCUACUCAAGCCUAUGGGAAGCUGAUGAUUGGGCAACUCAGGGUGGUCGAGUCAAGACUGAUUGGACUAACGCUCCAUUCAGCGCUUCUUACAGGAGUUUCAAUGAUGUGGACUGCUGUAGCAGGACUUCAGUAUGGAAUUGGGUUACGUGCAAUGCGAAUAGCAACUCGUGGAUGUGGACAACACUUAACUCCAAUCAGCUUGGACAGAUGAAGUGGGUACAAGAUGACUACAUGAUCUAUAACUAUUGUAAUGAUUUCAAGAGGUUCCCUCAAGGUCUACCCACGGAAUGCAACCUCGGCUGAUAUAUCGUGUUACCGGGAAAAUUCAAGAGCUUGGUGCAGUUUCUUUCUUUUAAUUUAACUUCAUGAUUCUUUUAUUUGAUUUGGUUAUUCUUUUGAGUUUCUAAGAUUUGCUUACCAUAUUGAGUAAUUGUUUAAUUUUUGGGUCAUCAACUCAUCAUCUGUUAUAAUUUGAUUACACUGUUGAUUUUCAUAUCUUAAAACAUUAAUAAUAUUUGAUUCAACCCUAGCUAGAGCAAGUGGGCUUUUGACACAUAAAUAAGCCCAUAAUCAGACUUAAACCUGGAUUAACUUAACUCUACGUCACUUGAUAAUUCAACUACAUGUAUAAAAUCCUUUUAAACUCACAUGCAUAACAUAUAGAAUUCUGACGUCUGAUUGAUCGUAAAUCAGAACAUAAUCAUUGUAGUUGAACUAGUCUAACUCAUAUCCCAUGCAUCUGUCUCGCUCUUAUAAUAUAUGUUGAAAAACUAUCAUUGUAUAUAUCUUAUAAAAAAGACUUAGAUUGAUACGACACUUUUGGAUCCGCAUGUUAAUUCAUUCCGUCUUAAACUCUUACUCGGUAUUUAUAGAACAAGCCAAACAAAACGAAGAUCGAUAAAAAUGAGAUGAUAACAAAGCAAGUUCCACUAGAAAAAGCUUGUUGUUCUGUUGUAAAUGAUGGACAAGAUUGGUAACUAAUAAAGUUUAGAAGGUUGCAUUCGUGUUUGGACGAUAACACUCAUCUCUUAAACAUCUAUUCAAUCACAUGUCAACAAAAGCUAUCAAGAUUCAAUGUAUCGAUUUAGACGUGAAAGAGAUGAUUAGUAUUUUAACAAUGAAACGGUUUGAAACUAUUUUAUUUGUUGACCCUGCAAAAAGGUUAUUAUAAAUUAUAAGAAAUGGAAGACGAUAACUUCAAAUUAUUACCCAAAUCGGGAAAUAAAAUCUAUGUUUUUUGUUACUCGGUCUUAGAUUUCUUUCCAGUAAAAAGAUUGAACUCCGGAAAAUUCAUUGUCCACAGAUUUGUAAACCCAUGAUUAUCGGAGGUUUCAAAAAAUUGUAUACAUGAUAGUACCAAACUUAUUCGUAAAACAAGUUGAAUUAUGUUUCCAACACUUAGUAUACGUGCUUCACAAUAAUUUUUGCUUUUAAACAAGACAAUACGGUUUUUAGACUUUACAUACAAAUAAAGAUGAGACUUAAUAGGUUUUUUUUUUACUUAGCUAUUACAAGAAACCUAAUAGUUUUUUUUUUUUUUUUGUAACUGAACUAUGCAACUGAAAUUAUGCAACUGAAACAUCUUUUAAUUAGUUGUUUUUCCGUUUCCAGUUAUUAGAUGUUCUAAACUUUUCAUUCAUAUUAUCAUGAAACUUUAACAAUAACCAUCUUAACCUUGUUUCUUAAAUGUUAUUUAAAUUCUAUCUUUAAUUAAUGUAGAGUAAAUUAAUAAAAAGGAACAAUAUCUAUAUCUAUACAUAUAAAAAUAAAAAUAAUUUAUUUUUAAAACAGUAGAAUUCUGAAACGACUAAGAAUCAAAAACGGAGUUCGCUUUUUCAUUUUCUUUGUGAUUUUUUUUUUCUUGUGUUCAAAUUAACAUCACUUUUAGGGUCAUGAAGAAGGGAAACAUUAUCUCCACGAAGUGAUCAUCGUGACUUGCUCAAUUCAGACAUUGCAUUAUUGAAUCUAAAAGUCAUAUUUUUAAUUCCGUGCAUUCUCUCAUCUAAUUAAUACACGCCACCAGAUAUACCUUCGGUCGGGUCAAUUUUAUUUUGUUCAAGUCCAUAUAUCAAGUCAAAAUAAUAACCGGCUAGACCAAUCAAAAUUAAAUUAGAUAGCCACAUAUAUGUUUAUGCAAUGUACCAGCAUAAGAAUGCAUUUUAAUAUUUGCACCUUAUAUAUGUAAUGAACUUUCGAAGUAUUUUUUUAGCUAUAUUCAAGGUUAUAUAAAACAAAAUUUCUAACAUGUUUUAUUCAUUUCAAUAUGGCACUGCAAACUAUGGUGUUGCCUGGUGCCGGCUGUCAUAUGCUUAAAAACAAGAAGCAACUGCGUGAUGAAUAAUAAAGGACCAAGUACAAGUAAUAGCUUUUCAAAACUAGAUUUCCGUAUUAGGAGGCUGAUAGCUUUUACAAUUCAACAAAUAACGAUACACCAACAACCUUUUUUCGUGAUAAGUCCUCUCUUAAUUAAUUUACUUUUAGAACGGUACAAUUUGUAGCAAGAUGUUAUAAGUUGGCCAAAAUUAGUGAAAAAAAUUGUAAUAUAAUAAUAAUAAACAGAAUAAGCUGCAGCUAGUUGAAAACAUUGUCAUGUGGCAUUUGAUUUAUCGACUUUUGUUAUUUUAUUUUUGUAUGGUGUGUACUUAACAAAAUCUUUGAUUUGUGAUAGUAAAAACUAAAAAGUAAAAGUAUACCAUGCAUCUCAUUUUUAUUUUCUUAUCAGUAGUUAUAAUUCUAAUCUCUUGGUUAGUCAAGAUUACUCUUUCCAAUUCCGCAUCAAAAUUUUGAAUUAUAGUAUAGAUAACAUAUAAAUUUUGUACAUGUAGUUUCUAUUCAAUAAUUAGAUAUAUCAAACUUGUCAGAAAGUCCAAAACAUGGUGUACAUAUAGGAGAAAAUAUCAUGAAAACCUCGGAUAUUCAUUAAAAUACUAGUGAGAAAAAGGUAAAAACAAAACUUAUGACUUGGUGACGUACUCAAGAGAGGAAUAUAUAAUUAUUAGUGAAAUAUACGGAAAUAUACGUAUAGGUAUGUUUUUGUUGAUGUCAUGUGUGUGGAUAAAUAUUAAGUAUAUAUAUACGUAUAUAGAAAUUUACUUAACUAAGUAUAGUUUCGCAGCAGAUGUCUCCUUGUCGGGGCACAUUGAUAUAUUGAUCAAUAAUGUAUGAUAUAUAAGCGACACUCAUCCAUUUUAUAAUCCAGUAAUAUGUGGGCUCAUACUAUGCAUAAUUAAAAUAACCGUUCCUGCAUUUUUUACUUGUUUUAAAAAGCUUUUUAGUUCGAAAAUUAAUCAAUAACGCAAAAAUAUAGGUACCGUCUUUCAAAACAAGAGUUUGAUUUAAAUUGAGGACUAUAGUUACAACGUGAGCUCGAUUUAACAUAAGAAAUAGAUAUUAGACAAAAAAGUGUUCCACAUCGAUAGUUGGAAGGGAUCCAAGUAAUAUAUAAGAUAGAUGGACCACUCCAUUUAUCAUCAAUUGGUUUUAGUUUGGAAGCCCGUCUAGCUUAACAUGGUAUCAGAACCCGAUCCACGAAGUCUAAUCCGAUCCAUCGAUCUGGCCCAAAGUUGGCCUAUCGAUCCUUGCCCGAGCAUUCCGAGAUUGACGCUCAAAGAGCCAUCAUCUCGAAUGGGCGUAUUAGACACAAAAGUGUUCCACAUCGGUAGUUGGAAGGGAUCCUAAGUAAUAUAUAAGAUAGAUGGACCACUCCACUUAUCACCAAUUGGUUUUAGGUUGAAAGUCCGUCUAGCUUAACAAUAGACUUAUCGAAAAGCAAUUAAUUAAAGGAUUAACAUUGAUACGAUUUUUUUCAAAAAAAAAAAGAAAAAAAAAACAUUGAUACGAUUAUACGACUAGAAGAUUAUUUUAAAGCCUUAACGACAAGUCAAGGUGACUCAUCUCUUGAUCCUGAUCGAUACCACUCUCCGGCACACGACGGCCUGAGAAGUCCCUGGG
rnacentral:lncRNA from 1 species